rnacentral:lncRNA from 1 species
UAGUCUGGUAUGCAAAUGGAGAUAAACCUGCACCAACAGGGUCCAAGGCAGUGCUGACUGCCAAUCGCGGGAUUUCACUUACUGACCCUCAAGGCAGAGAGUUGUGGAGAUCCGAGACAAUCAUUGGUGUUGUUGCCUACGGUGCCAUGACUGACACAGGCAACUUCGUGCUUCGAGAUCGUGUUUCUGAUAAGCUGUGGGAGAGUUUCAAGAAUCCUGCUGACACUUUACUGCCUUCACAGGUCUUGGACAGGGGGAUGACCCUUUCUUGUCGCCAAUCAGAAACCAACUUUUCUAAGGGAAGGUUCCAGCUUAAACUUAAAGAUGACGGGAAUCUUGAGCUAGCAACAAUAAACCUGCCUAGUGAUUAUACUAAUGAACCUUAUUAUGAAAGUGGUACCGAUGGGGGGUUGAAUUCAUCGAGUCCUGGCUAUCAAGUGGUCUUUAAUGAGUCAGGAUACCUGUAUAUAUUGAGGGAGAAUGACCAAAUAUUCUCUCUAACACAGAGAGUAACCGCCUCCAAUGGAGACUCCUAUCACAGAGCAACUCUCAACUUUGACGGAGUUUUCACCCAGUAUUAUCACCCAAAAGCAUCUACUGGCAAUGAAAGGUGGACACCAAUUUGGUCUCAACCAGAUAAUAUUUGCCAAGCAAGUUUUGUUAGUGCUGGCAGUGGAACCUGUGGGUUCAACAGCGUCUGCAGGCUGAAUUCAGAUCGAAGACCAAUCUGCGAAUGCCCUGGAGGAUACUCGUUACUCGAUCCAAGUGAUCAGUAUGGAAGUUGCAGACCAAACUACACACAAAGCUGUGAAGAAGAUGAGGUGGCUCCUGUGGAAGAUUUGUACGAUUUUGAAGAACUUACAAAUACAGAUUGGCCAACAUCUGACUACGCUCUCUUGCAGCCUUUCACUGAAGAAAAGUGCAGACGGUCUUGCUUGAAUGAUUGUAUGUGUACUGUCGCUAUUUUCAGAUCUGGUGACAUGUGUUGGAAGAAGAAGCUGCCACUCUCGAAUGGAAGAGUACAAACUAAUCUUAAUGGGAAAGCUCUUCUCAAAGUUAGGAGAAGUAAUGUUAAUCCACGAAGUCCUUAUUUCCCUAACAACAAAAAAGACAGGAAAGUAGCAUGCAUGCCUAAUUUAUUAAAAAUUUAAACUAUUAAAUUAGACUUCAAAAAUAAUUUUAUAUUACUUUUUAGCAUCAAAUAUAUAAAUGAUGUCUUUCGAUUCUGCAGAAUUUAUUUUUACAAGGAAUUUAUUUUUUCUUGCAGUUGUAAGGGGAGGUCACUUUCUUGACGUAUGAACUCAUGCUAGGCUGGUUUGGUGAUCCUCCAUUAAUUUGAACUUGAACUUGCCAGAAUAUAAGGUGCUCUCCGUUGAAUUAAAUACCACUGUAUGGUUCAAAGUGAAAGAUGAACAAAAAACCAGUCUUACGUCCUACUUGGACAAGUUUCCAAAAUCAUUCCAAUAUUUUUUCCAGUAGCUUGGACUCCGUACACUUAAAAGUAAAAUGAUUCAAUAUUUCUGCGUAUCAACACGCUAUACUUUUCAAAGACGCUAUUCAGAUUUUGAUAGAAAGUUCUAUAUAUAGCCAUAGAUUUAUACGAGGCUCUAGCUCCUUGUAACCCGGUAAGAUCAGAAAUGCCUAGUUUGAUGCGAUCAUGCCGGGUCAAUUUUCUUUUUAUUUUUGUUGAACCUGACCUGUUCUAAGUCAAAUCAAAUUUUAAAAUAGUGCUUUAGCCAUCUCAAGUGCAUUCGACCUUCUCUUACUAUUCUAAUCACUACUGUGCAUUUAAUGUUGACCUGCUUCUGUUGCAUGAAAAGUAAGCUUAACAAAUUCCCGACCAACUAGGAUUCAAAUACAAUGUGCACAAAGACUAACACUACCCUGUUAGCAUGGGUAUUUUGACUGACAUACCAUAGCUUCAUAAUCAUAAUCAAACAAACAUAUUCAUAUCUCAAAGCUUAACUCAUGACAUCAAUCAAAUGAGGAGCUAUCAAUUCAGAAGUCAAUUCAAAAUAUAUACCGGUUCAUAUCAAGAAUAUUCAGAUUCAAUAAUUAAUCAUGCUUUAUCAUAACAAAGAUAAUAAUUAACAUAUAUAUUAUAAAGAAGCAUGAUCCAGUUCAUAUUAACAAAUCAAAUAUUUAUAAUAUUUCUCAUGCAUAUGAAAAAUUAUUCACUCCCCUGACUUGAAAGCAAACAGAAGUCAAAGGAGACAUAUUUAAGAAUGACUUGAAAGAACAUUUAACCUAUUUAAUACACUUAACUAAGGGUGUAUUCCGUAACCUUAUAUGUUUUUAAACUAACUAGUUAAUUUUCUUAAAAACCAAAAAAUUAACGGUUUUCCAGAAAUCUAAUCCAUAAUAAAACAAAUAAUAAGACUUGAUAAUAAUUCACUAAAUAACCCUCAUUUAUUCAUCAAACCAAUCUGAAAAAGCUAAUAUUACAGCUAGGGACCAAUCUGGAAUUUAUCAUAUUUUUAGAGCCAAAUUGUAAUUUUCGUCUAAUUGGAGGACCAAACUAAACAUAUCAUAAAUUCAUGACUAUAGUGGAGUUAUGUCCAUAAUUCAUCCUCAUUUAUGUCCAGAACCUCUAAUUAUGCUCUAGAGAUCAUUCUGGAAUUUUUUCAAAUUUUUUUAAGGUCAAAUUGUAAUUUUUGUCAAGUGGAGGACCAAACUAAAAUUUAUCAUAAAUCAAUGAAUAUACUGAAAUUCUGACCAUAAUUAAUCCUCAAUUCUGUCCAGAAUAUCUCAUUAUGCUCCAAGGACCAUUUUGGAAUUUUACCAAAAUUUUAGGGUCAAAUGGUAAUUUUUGUCAAAUUGGAGGACCAAAUUGAAAGUGUUAAGAUUUCAUAAAUAUACAGUAAUUCUACCCAUAAUUCAUAUGUUAUUCUGUUCAGAAUCUCAAAAUAUGCUCCAGGGACCAAUUUGUAAUUUUCCAAAGUUUGGAGACUAAACUAUAAUUUUUGCAAAUUGAGGGACCAAAUUGAAUUUUUAUUAUCUUCAAUCUCAAACCCAAAAUUUUCACAGAUUACCCACUGUUAUCCCCUGAUUUCUAAUACAAAUUCAUUAUUCAAACAAAACCAUAACUCAAAAUUAUCAUUUUUAUUUACAGUUUCUCAAAUUCAACUUAACAAUCCAUUACCCACAAUAAUCAACCAUAUAACAUUCAAAUUAAUCCAUCAAUAAACCCUAAACAUAAUUCUCAAAACCCUAACAUUAAUCAAAACCGAAAUUUAAAGCUAAAGGAAACAUAUUAUACAUAUUAAAGCAUAAAUCUUACUCUUUUAACUUAUUUUCUUCAAUUCCUUUCUAUUUCCCUUAUCUUUUCUUCUUUUCUCUUCUUCUUUCUCUUUUCUUCUCUCUUCACUCUUGCCGACUCUCUCUCAAAACUUGCAGGUCACUUUUUUUUUUCCUAUUUAUAUUUAUCAACUAUUGUUUAAUUACCAUAAUACCCCUCAUUUAAUUAUACUUACUCUUUAAGCCUCCAAAGGCUUUAUUGCCUUUUCCUACUCUUAAAUUCAAAACAUUACAAAAAACACAAGCAACAGUUGUAGAAAAGAAGAAUCUUCAUGGCUAAUUGAUGAUUGUGAUGAACUUGAAGAAUCCUUUAUACCUUGUUUCUUUUUUAAAAAAAAAGCACAGAGGAAUCGAACUACGAAUUAAAUACUAGUUAUAACGGUAAAUUUUUUAUAUAACUUGUUAGGAUUUUAGAGAUUUUUAAUUAAAAAAAGAAGAAGAAGUUGUAGCAUAAUCUUAGAUCCAAGCAGUUAAAACUAUGUAAUUGGAGUGGUCAAGAGAAAAGGAAGCUUCUUAUUAAUUUCAUUAGUAAUAUUUAUUAUAGAGUAAUAUAAAUUAUAGCUUAAAUUAUCAUCAAUAUCUUAAAUUUUUUUAUUAAACUAGUUAUUUGAUAUAAUACUAAAAUUUUAUUAGUUAAAUUAUUAUUUUAAAUUUUUGCUAAUUUUCUUUAGCUUUUAAAUUGAAUUUAUUCUUUCAUAUCUGUUACUAUAAAAUAGGUUAUUUUUCUCGAGUCCUUUUGUUUCUCCGAGAUUUAUAAGAAUUUCGUGAAAAGGACCACAAUAUAUAACUUUUUAGGAAGCAGUUAUUUAACGAUAUUAAGUAUGAAAACACUUCAUUUUUGCAUUUCUUUCUCCAAGUUCUAGUUGGAUUUUCUCAGAAAGACCAGGGUUUUAGAGAUUUUCAAUGAAGAAAAUUUGUAGCACAUGCAAUCCUAAAUUUGUAGACUUAUUGCUAAUAAUUUCUCUUUUUUGAACACCCCUUUCUGCACGUUAAUAUUGGAAAACUUGACUAUUGAUCAGACUCACAAUUUUCUAAUGCUUUACUUUUACUUCAUUAAUUUAUUCAUUUGAUACGUACGCGGAUAGUUGGAGACUCAUAUUUUAUUCCAACAGCAAUACCCAGCAUAAAUAGAGAACAGUGCUUGUGCCCUAAAUCAUGCAAUGUCUUAAAAAACAGUAUCUUCACAUCAUGGAUUUUCAUAAAAAUUUAAAAUCUUAACUAAUAAUUAUUUUUUUAAAGAAUAAUAUAAAUAAAAAUUUAAAAUCUUAACUAAUAAUUAUUAUUUUUAAAUUGAAUAAUAAAUCACUUAUUUCUUUCUCCGUAAUUUAAUAGAAUUUUCUAAAAAAAAACCAGAAUAUAUAUAUAUAUAUAUAUAUAUAUAUAUAAUUUCUUGGAACCAGCCACCUUUUGAAAAGGUUUUCCUCUCCAAGAUAUAGUGGAAUUUUUCCAAAACAAAAUCUAGAAUAUAUAUAAAUUGUUAGGAUUUUAGAGAUUUUCAAUAAAGAAAACUUUUAUAAUUGAAGUGGUCAAAAGAAGGAAGCUUCUGAUUAAUUUCAAUGACAUUAUCUAUUGGUCUAAGGCGUACAGCUAAUAACAUGUCUUUUCUGCAUGGGUCUCUCACAAAGUUCUUUCUUCGCGUUAAUAUAUAUUGGAAUAUUUGACCAUUGAAAAUUACAACCACCUAAUGUUUGGCUCAUUAAUGCUGCGAUAAGCUUUUUCUGAGGAAGUAAACAGGAAGCUGCUAUGUUUUUUCCUCCACUCAAAUGAUAAUUUAUUUCAGUUUAUAUAUAUAUAUAUAUAUAUAUAUAUAGUUUACCGACCGGGAUUUAACGAUAUAACUCGAGCAAAUUUAUAAAAUAUUAUUUUGUUAUUUUAUAAUACAAAUUAAAAUAAUAUUAUUUUAAUUUUUUUUAAAAUUAAACAAGGUUUUUAUAUAAUCGAUCACGUCGCAAGCUCUUUUAUUAAGUUGAUUAAAUCUGAUAAAGUUAAUUCUAAUUAGUUUAUUUUAAAAACUAACCAAAGUUUGGUUUUGGGUUGACAUAUAAAUGCAUUGACCAUUUAAUAACUGGAAAAAUUCAAUAUUAGUUAAAAUUUAUUUACCAAAAAGAAAAAAUUAUAAAGAUAAAAUGAAAGUUGUUGAUAAGGUUUUUGUUUUUAUGUUUUAAAAGUGUUUUUAAAAAAAUUAAAUUUUUUUUUAUUUAAAAUUAAUAAUUGUUUUGGUGUUUUCAAAUUAUUUUAAUGUGCUGAUGUCAAAAUUAAUUUUAAAAAAUAAAAACAAAUCAUUUUAAUAUAUUUUUAAAUAAAAAAUAUUUUAAAAAUUAAUUACUACCAUAAUUUUAAAUUCACCGGAAUCAUUUGUUACGUGGAAGGUUUUUAACAUUAGUUUAUUCUCAUGCAUUAAAAAGAUUCGAAAUUAGUUGAAAUCUCUUUAUGAGAAGGGAAAAAUCACAAUCACAUCAAGAAAAGUCAUGAUUGCCAUCUUCAUUUGAUACGCGGAUAGUUGGAGAAUCGUAUUUCCUUCCGACGGCAAUACCAAUAACUCGAGCAUAAAUAGAGAAGAGGACCUGUGCCCUAAAUCAUUCGAAGGAGUUGUUGAAGUUCCUGCUGCUCCAAAUCCAUUUCUAUAUAGAAAAUAGCAUUGGUCAAACCUUGGCGACAAGGAUGGAUUGUUCUCCAUUGGUCAAACCUUGCGAAUCCGAGUAGGACCUUUGAAGGGGUAUCUAUGCCAGGUCUUGGCCAUACGCUAUUCUGAUGUUACUGUGAAGCUUGGUUCUCAGCAGAAAGUUCUUACAGUUAAAAGUGAGCAUCUUUCUGAGCUCCGUGCAAAGAGCUCCGCCAUGUCUGUAAGUGAUGAUCCACGAUCCAGUUCUUUCAAACCAUUUGAUUUACUUGGAAAUGAAGGUGGCUCUGGAGGUUGGACGGGAGGAGCUGGGACAUCAACUGAAGGUGAUGGCUGGAACGCUGGUGGCCUCUCCACUGAAAGAACUUCUUGGUCUAGUCCGGGCUUCACGCUUCAACCUGAAACCAACCCUGUAAAUCCAUCAAGUUCUGUAGAUAAUGAACCAAAUAAAGAUGAUACUUGGGGGAGUCAAGCUAAAGCAAAACAGACUUCAUCUUGGGGUGCAGCUGCAGCUGACUCUUGGAACAAAGCUGCUUCUAACAUUGGUUCUAGCAGUGGUGCAUCUGUUGGCUGGGGUAAAGCAACUUUAUCCAAUGAAGAUCUGCCAGGCUCUUCAAGAGGUUCUGGAGAUAACUGGGGUCAAGGAAUCCUAAGAGAUGAAAAAUCUUCUUUUGAUGCUGCAGCAUCUGCUUGGGACAAAGGAAAGACUGUUAUUGGAAACCAAAAUGGCAGUUGGGGUGAGGCAGCUACCGGGAAGAAUCAAGUGGGUUCGUGGGGAAAAUGUAAUGAUGCAGUUGAACCAGGAUCCUUGGAGAAGAAUAAAAGCUCUGGCACAGGAGAGGACUGCUUGAGUAACAAGACUACCGGGUGGAAUCGACAGAAAUCACAAGAUGGAGGAGACCCUUGGGGUAAAGCUGCAGAAGAACAAGAUAAGGGUGCUGCACAAAAUGAUUCUUGGGGUAAAGCUGCAGAGAAGCGGGAAAGCCAAAAUGGUGCUGAAAAGCCAACUGAGGGUUGGGGUAAGGCAGGCAGGAGCAGCAAUCAACCAGAAGCUGAUAAAGGAAGUGGCUGGAUGAAAGACAAAGCUGAUAGUGCAGGUCAAACUUCAAGUUGGGGCAAAGGGAAAAUUUUUAGUGAAGAUGCAACUGAGUGGAAUAAAGAUGGAUCUAAUAACCAGAAUCAGACUGAUAGCUGGAAUAAGCCAAAGGCCUUUGGUUCUGAUAGGGGAUCUUGGAAUAAACAGGGAGAAUCCUCUUGGGGUAAACAAGAAGGGGGAUCUCGGGGUAAUGGGAAUAGACCAGAUGGAGAUCAAGAGUUUGGUGGCUGGAACAAGACAUCUGAUGGGGGUCAUGGUUCAGGUGGGAGCAGGGGAAGAGGAGGUGGUCGUGGUGGUAGAGAUCAGUUUGGCCGAGGAAGAUCCUUUAGUGAUGGUCAGUCUUCAGGUUGGAAAGGUGGAGAAAACAAUUCAACUGGCAAUGAUCAAGGAGGUGGCUGGGGCAAAUCCAAGGGGUUUGAGGGAAGUAGAGAGGGUGGAUGGAAGUCUGUUUCUUCUGGGGGUGAUAGUGGAUCAGGUUGGAACAAAAGUGGGGGAGCAGAUAAAGAGACCGGUGGGAGCGUGGACAAAUGGAACAGUGGGAACAAAUCGAGUUGGAACAAUGAUCAAACUCAAGGUCACAAUGGGAGCAAAGGUUUUGGUUCUAAUCUGUCUUCAGAAGGGCAAAAUGAUGGUGCUAGUUGGAGAGCACCCAAAUCAAGUGGCAUGAACUUGUCUUCUGGAUGGAACAGUGCUUCUGCUGUGGAUGAAGUACCAGGUGGAAGUUGGGGUGGAGGCAGCAAGUGGAACUCAGGGAAAGCUUCAACUGGUGACAAUACAACUGGAUGGAAAACUGGAACGAGUGGGGCUGGCACCCAGCCAUCUGACUGGGGUGCUCCAAAAGCUUCUAAGGGAGAUCAGUCAUCAAGCUGGGAUAAUAAAACUGGUCAUGUAGAUGCCAACCAGUCAUCUGGUUGGGGUAGUAAAAGCUGUUGGAAUCAGAAAUCUCCUGAACUUGAAAAGGACAGCGAGAUAGAUGGAAACCGGAAUUCUAGCUGGGGUAAGAAAAGUAAUUUGAAAUCUGAAUCAAGUGAUGCAGGUGGUAAUGCUGGCUCUGACUGGGGCAAGAAGGGCAAUUGGAACUCCGAAUCCAAUAAUGCGGAUGGAAAUCAAGAUUCUGGUUGGGCCAACAAAAGCAACUGGAACUCUGGGUCCAAAGAUGCAAACCACGGUUCUAGUUGGGCCAAGAAAAGUAAUUGGAACUCUGGAUCUAGUGAUGUGAACCAAGAAUCUGGUUGGGACAAGAAAAGCAGUUGGAGCUCUAGAUAUGGUGAUGGUAACCAGGAUGCUUCUGUAGCCUGUGAUGAUGAAGGCCAAACUGAGACCUGUGGUAAUAGGGCAGGUGGUGGGAGUUGGAGAGGUGGUUUUGGUGGUAGGGAUGGUUCAGACAGAGGGGGUUUUAGAGGUAGAGGUGACAGAGAAGGCUUUGGAGGUAGAAAUGGCUCUGACAGGGGGGGUUAUGGAGGUAGAGGCAGAUCCGACAGAGGUGGAUUUGGAGGCAGAGGUGGUCCAGACAGAGGGGGCUUUAGGGGUAGAGGGGACAGAGGAGGCUUUGGUGGUAGAGCCAGAGGAAGGAGGGAUCAUAAUGGUGGUUGGAGUGACAACAAUUCUGCUGAAGAUAAGACCUUUGACUGGAAGAAUGGGGCAAACAAUAGCGGUGGAGGAUGGAAAAAUAAUGGUGGUGGAAGCAGUUGGAACCGAGGAGGUGGUGAUAGGGGCCAACAGAAUAGCUGGAAUUCUGGAAGUGGUGGAAGCAAUGAAGGUGGUGGUUGGAGUAGCCAAGGUUCAGGCUGGAACCAGUCAAGAACGGCCAAAGAUAGUGGUGGCAGUGACCUUGCUGGUGGUUGGAACAAGGGAACCUGUGCAAACAGCGAUGCUGCCUGGGGUCAAGGAAACAGCUGGAAGUCAUCAAAUCCUUCUGGUGAGGGCUGGAGUAAAUCAAGCAAAGAAAUUAAAGGUUCCGAAGAUCAAGGGGGUGGCUGGAACAAAGGACCUUCUGGUGCAAACAGCGACGCUGCCUGGGGUCAAGGAAACAGCUGGAAGUCAUCAAAUCCUUCCGAUGAGGGCUGGAGUCAAUCAAGCAAAGAAAUUAAAGGUUCAGAAGAUCAAGGGGGUGGCUGGAACAAAGGACCUGGUUCCAGUGCUCAAGGUGGUGGCUGGGGGAUAAAAGGAGCAGGCUCAGGAGAAGCAGGGAUGACUGGAGGUGAUGCUAUGACCUGGAAUCAAUCUGGUGCUUCUGGCGGAGGCCAAUCAUCUGGUUGGAAUGGAUCAACAGAGGGCAAAGAAGGAACUAAUACAGGCAGGGAACUAACUGAUCCGUGUGGUAAAGCAUCAUCAACAAGUUCUUGGAAUCAAUCAAGCAAAGACAUUGAAGGUUCUGAUGACCAAGGCAGUGGCUGGAACAAAGGACCCAGUUCUAAUGCUCAAGCUGGUGGCUGGGGGGACAAAGGAGCAGGUUCGGGAGAUGGAGGCGAUGCUGAGACCUGGAAUCAAUCUAGUGCUUUUGGUGGAGGGCAAUCAUCUGGCUGGGGUCAAUCUACAGAGGUGAAAGGAGCAAAUGAAAGUGGUAAGCCGACUGAUCCAUGGGGUAAUAAAGCAUCAACAAGCUCUUGGGGAAACGAAGGGAAUGAUGGAAGUAGCAAAGGGGGGUGGUAAUUACUUUGCAAAAGAAGCCAUGGUAUCUAGUUUUUGAAGUUUAAAGGAGCUGUAUAUAUUAGCUUGUUGUCUUAUUCACGGUUAGGAAGGAUCUAACAGUGGUAUUUCUUUUGAAACUCUGCCCCAGACUCAAAUUUCUGUUUCCUUGACAUUUUGAAUUCCGGUACUACCAAAAGGAGUUGCUCUUGGAGCAUUGAUCAAAAAAAAAAAAUACAGUACAAUUAGCAAUUACAGUCAGCUGGAAUGAUCUUUAUUUCACUUAGAUAUGAUUUUUCUACAGUUUCUUCCACCAUGAAAUGUAGCUUUAUAAAUUGAAACUGUAUUAAAUUUGAAUUAGUUUCCAAGGAAUCAAAAUUUUGUGAUGAAUCCAAAAACUUGGGGUUAACAUAUUCUUGUUCUUUUAGUUUCCUGGCUUCAGAUAUACCAAUGGAAGUUCAGCGUGCUGUUACUCUCUUAGCAGAGUAAGGGUAGGGAUUAGGUUUAAAGUCCAAUUUGCUCGGUACUACCUUGAGAAUCAAAAUAAGGACCUGUACUUCUUGCCAUGCGAAGUUGGACAAAGCUUUUUACAGCAAUAAGUGAAACAUCAAACACCAUUCCAUUACACAAUGGGCAUAAUUAAGAAAGUAACAACCAGCAACUUGGUCCCUUGAAUUUCAUGUUGAAUGGUUAGUAUACGGUUGUAAGUGAAGCAUGUUGUAGCUAUAGAUAUUCUCAUGAAUCUAUUUAAUGGGCGGUUCUAUCAGGAUAGGAACAGCUGAUAACUAUACAAUGCACUAUACUCUGUAGAACCCAUCAUCAUUACUUCUAUACCAGCAUUUGUCUUAAUAGAAAAGGGACCGAGAACUCCAUGACUCAGACGCCCACUCUGUAGGGACCACAAGGAUUGUAAUUAAGUAGAUUGGCAGGUAACUACUUCCAUUUAUGUAUGGUUGAAAGUCUUGCCUGUUAGAAUCUAUGAAAAUUUGCUUAGUCUUUGCAUUUAUUUUUUCGUAAUAGAGUCGGUUGCAAGUUUCGCUAUUAUUCUGUUAUUAGUAGUAAUCCAAUAACCUUUCAUGUUUGUUGAUAAUUUAUAGCAUUUUGAAUUUGGUUGUAAGCCUUUAAAUAAGUAUUCUUAAUUUAUAAUAUUUAUUAUCUUUCAGCUUCAACUUUUUCUCUUUUAGAAUUCUCUGCAUUUGUUAUUCAUUUAAACUGCAUAUUUCAAUAGUAUUCAUUUAACUGUAAAUUUAACAGUGGUAUCAGAGCAUAUAUCCUAUGGGUUGUGGGACCAGUUUUUUGAGUGCUAAACACGGUAAGAUUGAGUGCUAAACACAGAGAAGGUAAGUGUAAACACUAGUAAUUUAUUUUGUCUAUUGAUUUGAUGUCUGCCUCAAGCAACUCUGCAUCUGCAAUUCCAGUAUUCAAUGGUGAACAUCAUUAUAUUUGAGCUGUCAAGAUGAGAUUUUAUCUAAGAUCUCAAGGCUUGUGGAAUGUUGUAGUGUCUGAUUCUGAUCCACCACCAUUGACAGCAAACCCCACAAUUGCUCAAAUGAAGGCACAUGAAGAAGAAAAGCUUAAGAAGGAAAAGGCCAUCACCUGCCUACAUUUUGGACUUACAUAUCACAUCUCCACCAAAAUUAUUGCUACCCAAUUUUUGACCCAUGUUUUGAUAAAUUUUCAGAAAAAAAUUCCAAAAUAGCAAAAAACAUCGAAAAUACAAAAAAAAUAUAUUUUUUAAUAUUUUGCAUCAUUUUUAGAAUUUUUAGCAUCGUCUCAAAAGAAAUUAAAUUUUCAAAGGUUUUAGAACGCGUUCGACUUUUAACGCGUUAUUUUUAAAAUCAUCGAUUUUCCUCGUUUGAGUCGAUGUUGAUAAGAAAAAUCCAAAAAAAUAAGAAAAAUCAAAUUUACAAAAAAAGAAAGAAGUUGAUGGACCAAGUUUGAGACCUAGCAACAUUUUUGCCUAUAAAUAGUAGCCUUCAACACACACAAAAAAAGGGAGGGCAAUUUUAAAAAAGAAAAAAAAAAGAGUCAUAAAAACCUUAAAGACAAUACCUAACCAUUGCUACCAAAAAGAGCCGCCGUCGUCGGCAGCUCUUGGUUUUCUUCCACUCUUUUUGCCCGAAGCUAACCGGCGCCCCAUUUGGCAAAAGAAACCAAGACCAGCCGCCCCCUCCGACUAGUUUUGGAUUUUCUUCUUCCCCAGCCAUCUCACCCUCAACCCCACUCUCCGAAACCAAAGCAGCCACUCCGCUCCCCAUCCAUUCUCCUCUUAAGCCGCCAUUGGAAAGCCCCUCACUUCCACUUCGUCCACAGUUUCACUCCCACAGAACCCACAACCGAUCUUCCUCCAUUUCCUCUCAUUUGUAGCCGGACAGUCAGCAGCGAGGCCAACCACCACUGCCACCAACAGGAAGGAAGACCAUCAACGCCGGCCUCCACCAGGCCACACAGUAGUAGGUGAUCUCCUUCACUGCCAACUGGCCAGCUCGCCAAGACCGGAUCAGAGCCUCCAGUAACAGCCCAAAAUCCUGCUGGAAGUGGGACUUAAAGAAAGUUGAUUGCACAACCACAACUGCUCUUAAACCAGCAGUAGGAGGAACUAGAGAUCAAUCAGACAUUGAAGGAACUUCAGAUACAACAAUACUUAAGGUGAGACCUUUAUUUGAUGUAUAUGAAAGAUGUAAUCUGGUACAUGCUGAGCCUACAAGCUACAUUGAAACUGCAAGAUUUCCAGCUUGGAUUGAUGCUAUGAAGUCAGAAAUUGAUUCCAUUGAAAAAAAUGGAACCUGGAAAUUGACAGAACCUCCUCUUAACAAAAGGGAUAUUAGUGUGAAGUGCGUUUUCAGAACCAAAUUCAAUCCAGAUGGUUUAAUUUUCAGACACAAGGCUAAAUUGGUUGUUAAAGGCUUUGCUCAAGUUGCUGAAGUGGAUUAUGGUGAUACUUUUACACUAGUUGCUAGGCAUGAUACCAUUAGACUUCUACUUGCACUUGCGGGUCAAAAGGAAUGGAAAGUGUAUCAUUUAGAUGUCAAGUCUGCUUUUCUAAAUGGGAUACUCCUUGAAGAAAUCUAUGUUCAGCAACCAGAAGGCUUUGUAGUCACUAGUCAUGAACACAAAGUAUAUAAGCUAUACAAGGCUUUUUAUGGCUUGAAGCAAGCACCAAGGGCCUGGUACAACAGAAUUGAUACUCAUCUAAUUCCACUGGGAUUCAAGAGAAGUGAAAAUGAAGCUACUUUGUAUUUGAAACAAGAUCAAGAUGGUCUGCAUCUAGUAAUUUCACUCUAUAUGGAUGACAUGCUAGUGAUUGGUAGCAAUGUCAAAUUGCUAGCAAAAUUCAAAAGAGAAAUGCAAGAUGUUUUUGAAAUGUUUGAUCUUGGCAUUAUGAACUACUUUCUUGGAAUGGAAAUACAUCAAUAAAGCUCGGGUAUCUCUGUUUCACAAAGGAAAUACGUUAUUGAUAUAGUCAAGAGAUUUAAGCUUAAAUCAUGCAAAGAAGUAGCAACUCCAUUGGCACAAAAUGAGAAGAUUUCAAAGAAUGAUGGUGAGAAACUUGAAGAACCCUCUGCAUAUAGAAGUUUAGUAGGUAGCCUAUUAUACUUGAUAGCAACCAGACCUAACUUGAUGUUCCCAGCUGGUUUACUGUCAAGGUUCAUGAGCUCACCUAGCAAUGUUCACAUGGGAGUUGCCAAGAUGGUGCUAAAGUAUAUUAGAGGGACAACCGAUCUUGGAAUCUUGUACUCAAAGUCAGGAGGAGUAAAUUUAAAUGGAUAUGUAGACAGUGACUGGGCAGGGAGCGUUGAUGAUAUGAAAAGCACUUCUGGAUAUGUUUUUACAAUUGGUUCAGGUGCAAUCUAUUGAAAUGCUAAAAAGCAAGAAGUGGUGGCACAAUCAACAGCUGAAGCAAAGUAUAUUUCCCUAGCAGUUGCUGCAAAUCAAGCAAUAAGGUUGAACAAGUUGCUUGUUGAUCUAGGCCAAGAACAAAGUUCACCAACUGAGCUUUAUUGUGAUAACAAGUCUGCCAUUGCUAUUGCUCAAAAUCCUGUUCAACAUGGGAGGACCAAGCACAUCAAUGUGAAAUUUCACUCCAUAAAAGAAGCUGAGAAGAAUUUACUUGUAAAGCUUCAUUACUGUCCAACCGAUAUACAACUUGAUGAUAUAAUGACUAAAGCACUCCCUAAAUCAAGGCUGGAAUUUCUAAGGAUGAAACUUGGUUUGUCCAAGGCAAAUCUCAAGGAGGAGUAUUAGAAUCUAUGAAAAUUUGCCUCUGAAGAUAGCUGUUAGACUUAGUCUUUGGAUUUAUUUUUUCAUAACAGAGUCGGUUGCAAGUUUUGCUAUUAUUGUGCUAUUAAUAGUAAUCCAAUAAUUUCUCAUGUUUGUUGAGAAUUUAUAGCAUUUUGAAUUUAGUUGUAAGCCUUUAAAUAGGUAUUCUUAAUUUAUAAUAUUUGUUAUCUUUCCGCUUCAACUUUCUCUCUUCUAGAAUUCUCUGCCUUUGUUAUUCAUUUAAACUGCAGAUUUCAAUAGUAUUCAUUUAAGUGCAGAUUUAACAUUGCCAUGGUAUGCCAUAAGUAUUGUCCAAGUCUUUAAUGCUGAAUUCAGAUCGGGAAAAUACCAUUGUCCAGAAAAGGGCCGGGAAGACUUGUAUUUGGCUUCAGGCUCCGUCCUUCUCUCUCCCAUUAGUUAUUUAACGACGGCUUUGUUUGUUUUGGGGCUUUCUUCUCCAGGAAAUGCCUAGUGAUUGACCUGUAAAAACCUGUCCUCUCUUCCAUGCGAAGUUGGAUAAAGCUGGGGGGGGGGGGAAUGUAGGACUAGAUAUUCCCAUGAAUCUAUUGGAUGGGCGGUUCUAUCAGGAUAGGCACAGCUGAUAGCUGCGUAACGCACUAUAAAGUAUAAACUGUAAAACCCAUCAUCAUCACUUGUAUCAAUUAUUUGGCACUAAAAUGUUAAGUUUUCAUUGUCACAGGCACUAGAAAUUUUAGGCUUCUCAUUUUCUAUCAUAUCCAACGUAAAAUCAUUUUCCAAUUCAGAAAUGACGAUGCAUAAGUUGUAAUUAAUUUUCAUUUCUCUCCUUCGUUGUCACUCCAUAUGACUAAUGAUAUUUUCACAAAAUGAACCUCAACCUGGGUUAAAUUCCGGGAAAGAUUUUCCAAGACGGUACAUAGUUGGUAUAUCUGGUAACCAUUUGAUAAAAAUCUUCUAUAUCAGCAUUUGUCUUGAUUCAAAAUAGACAGAGAAAUCCGCGACUCAGACCCAACUCUUGAGAGACUAUAAGGAUUAUAACCAAGUAUAUUGACAGGUAACUUCUACCAUUUAUGUAGGGUUGAAAGUCUUGCUAUGGUAUACCAUGAGCAUACUCUAGUCUCUAAUUCAUGAAAAUUCAGAGAAAAUACCAUUGCCAAGAAAAGGCCCAAGAAGACUUGUGUUUGGCUUCAGGCUCCACCCUUCUCUUUCCCAUAGGCUAUUUAAUGACCGUGCCUUGAACUUCGUUUGCCUCAUAGUUUGGAGUCAUCAUAUUUUGCAAUGGCAUUUCCUAUUCUUCAUCUUUCGUUUUCCUUGCUCAUUAUGCUACCUCCUUUUGCUGUUUCUCAAACUGGUGGUAAUAUAACUGUGGGUGCUUCCCUUUCCACUUCUGAAAACACCUCAUGGCUUUCACCUUCUGGUGACUUUGCCUUUGGCUUUUAUCAACUUUAUGGCAACAAAGAUCUCUUCUUGCUUGCCAUAUGGUACGAUAAAAUACCAAACAAAACCAUAGUCUGGUAUGCAAAUGGAGAUGAACCUGCACCAACAGGGUCCAAGGCAGUGCUGACUGCCAAUCGCGGGAUUUCACUUACUGACCCUCAAGGCAGAGAGUUGUGGAGAUCCGAGACAAUCAUUGGUGAUGUUGCCUACGGUGCCAUGACUGACACAGGCAACUUCGUGCUUCAAGAUCGUGUUUCUGAUAAUCUAUGGGAGAGUUUCAAGAAUCCUGCUGACACUUUACUGCCUUCACAGGUCUUGGACAGGGGGAUGACCCUUUCUUCUCGCCAAUCAGAAACCAACUUUUCUAAGGGAAGGUUCCAGCUUAAACUUACAGAUGACGGGAAUCUUGAGCUAGCAACAAUAAACCUGCCUAGUGAUUAUACUAAUGAACCUUAUUAUAAAAGUGGUACCGAUGGUGGGUCGAAUUCAUCGAGUCCUGGCUAUCAAGUGGUCUUUAACGAGUCAGGAUACCUGUAUAUAUUGAGGGAGAAUGGCCAAAUAUUCUCUCUAACACAGAAAGUAACCGCCUCCACUGGAGACUCCUAUCACAGAGCAACUCUCAACUUUGACGGAGUUUUCACUCGGUAUUAUCACCCAAAAGCAUCUACUGGCAAUGAAGGGUGGAAACCAAUUUGGUCUCAACCAGAUAAUAUUUGCCAAGCAAGUUUUGUUAGUGCUGGCAGUGGAACCUGUGGGUUCAACAGCGUCUGCAGGCUGAAUUCAGAUCGAAGACCAAUCUGCGAAUGCCCUGGAGGAUACUCGUUACUCGAUCCAAGUGAUCAGUAUGGAAGUUGCAGACCAAACUACACACAAAGCUGUGAAGAAGAUGAGGUGGCUCCUGUGGAAGAUUUGUACGAUUUUGAAGAACUUACAAAUACAGAUUGGCCAACAUCUGACUACGCUCUCUUGCAGCCUUUCACUGAAGAAAAGUGCAGACGGUCUUGCUUGAAUGAUUGUAUGUGUGCUGUCGCUAUUUUCAGAUCUGGUGAUAUGUGUUGGAAGAAGAAGCUGCCACUCUCGAAUGGAAGAGUACAAAUUAAUCUUGAGGGGAAGGCUCUUCUCAAAGUUAGGAGAAGUAAUGUCAAUCCACGAAGUCCUUAUUUCCCUAACAACAAAAAAGACAGAGACGGUUUGAUCCUGGUGGGAGCUGUGUUUUUGGGCUGCUCUGUGUUUGUGAACUUUUUGUUGGUUUGUGCAAUUUGUAUGGGUUUUUUUUUCAUCUACCGCAGGAGAACAAAGAGAAUUCCUCAGAAAGACGGUGCUGUCGAAACAAAUUUGCGGUGUUUUACUUACCAAGAGCUUGCAGAAGCAACAGAGGGGUUCAAGGAAGAGUUGGGAAGAGGAGCAUUUGGAGUUGUUUACAGAGGGGUGGUGCAUAUAGGGUCUAGCAUUGUUGUGGCUGUGAAGAAGCUAAAUAAUGUGGCAGAAGAUAGCGUGAGGGAAUUCAAGACGGAGGUAAAUGUGAUCGGCCAGACCCAUCACAAGAAUCUUGUUCGGUUGCUGGGAUUCUGCGAAGAAGGAGAUCAGCGGUUGUUGGUGUAUGAGUUCAUGAGCAAUGGAAGUCUAUCGAGUUUUAUUUUUCAAGAUGCAAAACCUGGUUGGAAGAAAAGAAUCGAAAUUGCCUUUGGAGUUGCAAGAGGACUUUUGUACUUGCAUGAAGAGUGCAGCAAUCAGAUUAUCCAUUGUGAUAUCAAGCCCCAGAAUAUACUUCUGGAUGAAUAUUACAAUGCAAGGAUAUCUGACUUUGGUUUGGCAAAGCUCUUGUUGCUGGAUCAGAGCCACACCCAUACAGCCAUCAGAGGGACAAAAGGGUAUGUUGCACCUGAAUGGUUCAGGAACCUGCCCGUCACUGUGAAGGUGGAUGUGUAUAGCUAUGGUGUACUUCUGCUAGAGAUCAUUUGUUGCAGAAGAAAUGUGGAUAGCAAAGCAACCAUAGAAGAACAGGCAAUUUUAACAGACUGGGCAUAUGACUGUUAUCGUGAAGGGACAUUGGAUGCCCUCGUUGGAUCUGAUACCGGAGCCUUAGAUGACAUAGAAAAGCUAGAGAGGUUUAUGAUGAUUGCUUUCUGGUGUAUUCAGGAAGAUCCAUCUCUCCGACCCACCAUGAGGAAAGUUACACAGAUGCUUGAAGGAGUAGUUGAAGUGCCUGUUCCACCAUGUCCAUGCCUUCUUUACGCAGCAAGUUAAAUCAGCUUUGUAGCGUUGCCAGCCCUAUUAUCUUUCUCUUGUAACCUUUUCUUGAUUAUUGGCUUCUUCACCAGUGUCUUGUCCACCAUAAGUUCUUCACUUUAAGAUUAUUAGUGCUUGUCGUUUCUGUUUUGCCUGCUACUACAAAAGGCAGCUCUGUACAUAAGUAACGCUGUAUUCGAUGCAUUAGUUUCCAAGCUGUUCUAGUUUUGCUUUACACUGCUCCUUGCAAGAUCAUAUAAAUCUGGUGUCUCAUUCUCUUGCAUUCUACAAGAUCAUAUUCUUCAUACAUGCCAUAAGUACCUUCCUUAAUUAUUAACCAGACUUGCAAAAAAAGAACAAAGUCAACGUUAUGGUGUGCUUGAUCAGGCUGGUUAAUAAUUAAGGAAGGUACUUAUGGCAUGAAGAAGCAAUUACUGGGCUCUAAUUCUUGCUAUUAAGUUCAUUGUAGGAGGUUAAUUCACUUUAAAGAAACUUAAUAAUGAAUAUGUCCAACAAUUAGUUACUGCAGACCAUGUGAAGCAAGCACUGACUUCUUAAGGUUGCUGGAUGCUGUUGCUGGAUGCUGUUUUCAGCAUUGUUCAGCAUAGAAAGACAGGAAAGUAGCAUGCCUAAUUUAUUAAAAAUUUAAAAUAUUAAAUUAGACAUCAAAAAUAAUUUUAUAUUACUUUUUAGCAUAAAAUAAAUGAUGUCUUUAGAUUCUGCAGAAUUUAUUUUUACAAGGAAUUUAUUUGUUCUUGCAGUUGUAAGGGGAGGUCGCUUUCUUGACGUAUGAACUCAUGGUAGGCUGGUUUGGUUAUCCUCCAUUAAUUUGAACUUGAACUUGGCAGAAUAUAAGGUGCUCUCCGUUGAAUUAAAUACCUGGACUCCGUACACUUAAAAAGUAAAAUGAUUGAAUAUUUCUGCGUAUCAACACGCGCGCUAUACUUCUGUUGCAUGAAAAGUAAGCUUAACAAAUUCCAAGUCCCAUUGCAGGUCGAUUUUGCCUCCGUGUGUGGCAAUGUUUUAUUCAAUAAUCUAAUAAAAAAAUAACACAUCAACUACUUAUAAAGAGAUAAAAAUAAACCUAACAAAAAAAAAAGCUAAGUAGAAAAACUAAUUAACAUAUGAAAUUAACUAGAAAAAAAAUUGAAAUAACAUCUUCUAAUUAAGUUUAAAAUUUUGAAACAUACAAGCCUUUUUCUAAGGAUUGAUCAUGUCUAUCAAAUCUAUAAACAUAAUAUAGCAAUAUAUAUUCCAUGCGAUGAACAUUCAGAAGAUGACAUUUUUGUUUUGAAGUUUUGUAUUCGAUUUGAAGUAGAGAUACAUACUAAUAUAGUGGAAAAAUCCACUGACUCUCUUGUGAUGAUAUAUUUGCCUUUUUUCUCUCCAUUUUUUUUAAAGAAUAAAAAAUCAUAAACAUUAUCGUUUUCUUCGAGAAGAGUGGUGCACCUUGCCACUGCUCGGAAUUGGCCGUGCCAGGUCAUGUUAGUACUUUGGUGUACAAAAAGAAGAUUGAGUACUUGAUUUCCAUUGAUUUUUAAAAGCUUUUACUAAAUCAAUUCCUCAUUGGUUAGUGGUUAUAUGUUAAUAUUUAAUAAGUUUUGUAAUUAAUCAUGAAAGACCUAUCACUGAUUUGUUAGUGUUAAUAUACUUAUAGCUGAUAAUAUUUAUUUUAUUUAAGUAAAAUAUAUUUAUUAGUAAUAAAAGUUUUUUUAUAUUUAAUAUUUAUUGAUAUUUGAUUAAUGAAUCUAAUAUUUAAUUAAUAAAUUAAAAGUAAAGAUAAAAUUCAUAAACUAAAAAUAAUUUAUAAAAAAAUUAUUAAAUUAUUAUAAUUAUAAAACUUCUAUUACAUUAAAUUAUUAUUACUAAAUAUGUUUUUUAUAACUAAUGUUUCUAGUCAAAGAGAGUGAUUCAGGAUGGGUUGAAAGCGAACAGAUGUCAUGCAUCACAUGCAAGUCUUUGUUUGGUUGUGAAGACUUGAUAGAGGGCCCAUUUGCAAUUUUUAAGUCUUUGGAUCCAUUCAUUUAUUGCCCUGGUCCCAAGUCUCUGUUGAAUAAAUGACUUCCACCGUUUCAAACACCAAUAAUUAUGUGGUUCUUUUUCAAUAUUCUACCUUUUUUCAAUCGAAAUUUACCAUUUCAAUAAUUUUUUCAAUAACUACAAUAACAUGGACUUGGUCCACCAUAUGUACCGUUGCCUCCUUGUAAGGGCAAAGACUUAUGGAAUGCAGCUGUUGGGAUUUGAAAAGUCUGUGUCCACACCUUUAAUGAAAUGUCCUUGAGUUUUGAAGUGUCCGAGCAGCAAAAAUCACAUAGCUUGCAAUGACAUCCUGCUGCAAUGCAACACCAUUGAUAUAGGAACUGGUUUGUUGGUGACAGUAGUGAUAAUAUGAGUUUUGUGCUAUCAAUUUGACAAUCAAAUUCAGGAAUAGUGGCCAUUUGUGUUGACAGCAGCACUUUGUCCUCGAUAUCCUUGCUUUCAUAACUUUGUGCUCAUCAACAUUUUUGUUUUGUUCAUCUAUAUCAAGUGUAACACAGGGUUCUUUAGGCUUUGUAAUCGCCUGGUUAUAGAUUGAUUUUUCUUCUCUUUGCUCUCCUCAGUGUCGCCAAUCUGAAAUUCCUCACUUUCUUUUUGAAUCUUCCCAUGGUAAACAACACCAGAUUUUUCUUAUCAACAAAAGCUUGCUACUCUGUCUCUUUUUUGUUAAUCAAUGUGAUUUAUUUAUUUUUCUCAAAUCCAUUUCCAUAUCAGUUAAAAAGAAAGAAAGCAGGCAGCACACACUGUCCUGCAUCAUAAAGUUCAAGGUUUGGUCUCAUUACAAACGUACACAAGUAUUUGUGGGUGUUGUAUUUCCAUUGAAGGGUAUUGUUCCAUCCAAGGCAUUUGUGUGGAGAGCUGCGUUACAAAGGAGACCAAUGAGAGGGAUUUAGGACGCAUUCUUGGUGUGCUGUUGCAUGUCAUAGCGGAUCCCAAUCUUCCAAAACUAACAAUUAAUGAAUUUGAGAAGCUGGCUUAUAAAUCUUCCAAAACAGUAACAUUUGAGCACCAGUAUCAGGUAACGGAAGAGUCUCCUGCUGAUCAUUCUGAGAUACAACCCAAUGAUGUUAUAAUUGUUGGGGAUUCCGGCUACCCUAUGUGUGGACUAGUGGUGUUCUGAUAGUUGGUCAUUGGAGGCUAAGCACACCGAAACACAAUAUUUAACGUUGUUCAACAAAUUACCUACAUCCACGGGAGAAGUCAAUAUUAUUAGAGACAAAUAGAGAAAUGAUUACAACACACAUGGAGGAGGAGGAUCACUUCACUCAAACUCAACACCCAUUGCUCUCACACACUGCUGCACAAGGCAGUAGGGCUGCUGCCCUUGGCAGCUACUCCUUCUUUCUCUCCUCACGUAUUUCUCUCUUGUUCUUUUCUCUUUCUCUCUAUUUGCUCUCCAAAAUUAUGCCUCUUUUAUAGGCAUCAAUGGUAAGGCAAGAGGCCAUCAAUUAUGGGACAAAUGGUGGCAGCACAUGAGUUGCACCAUUUUUUCAAUGGUUGGUGCAACUACCAUUGUAGCCCUUUGACAAUGGCAUCCCUCCUUCUUAAGGUAGGAUGCAAAUGUUGUUGUCCAUUAAUGGAAAUAUCCCAACAAUCACCCCCUUUGACAUUUAUAUGGGCAAUUAUCCUCUUGCUUCUUCAGCACAAGCUUGCAUUAUGUAGUUCUUCCAAGCUUACCAUUCCGAGAGCGUUUGUGGCCAAGUUUACAGGUACUCGCUAAAUCUUUCAAUCAUCAGAGUUACCAAAGCACACCCUUGCUCACACCAAAGGAUCACUUCAACCAGAUGGUCUGCCACUUCACAUCUAAAGAGUGUUAUCGCUUGUCUCUAGGAUAACAUUCCCUUUCGAGUGUAUCAACUAUGCUCGGUCCGGAAUGAUUUAUCAAGCCUCACAUCAAUGUUUACAACACCCCCUCAAGUGGAAAUUUUUAUUUUCAAGUGUGACAGUCAUUAUCUGAGUAUCUCAAUAUGAUCACAAGCUCACCACUCUUCCAAGAGUCUACUCAUCCAGGAGUUGUGUUUGCCCUUUGUUCCACCCUAGGAACCAUGCCUUACUUCUCCAUGAGUUUCUCGCUCUUAGUCCUAAGAGUCCAGGUAGCUUUCUACCUUUAACCAUGGGGGCAGCCCAUUUAAAGGUUAAUCCAUAUAUGUCUUGAUACUCUAAAUAUUAAAAUGCCUUUACCGAGCUCACCACCUCGACAAGAAUCAACUUGUUCCAGGAACUGGGGCUCCUAUCAUGGCUCUCACACCUUUUUUAAGGUGUCUUCGCUCGUUAUCAUGGGGCGGUCUGAACUUGGGCUCCUUUCAUGGCCCUUACACACCUUCUAUCUAAGGUGUCUUUACCUUUCAUAGGCGGUCACAUCCUCCUUCAGUUGAGAUGCUUCAAAGUGGCUCCAAAAGUGUCUACCACUAUGUGGACUAUGGGAGAGAUUACUACCACUGAUUAUAUAGAAAGAGAAAGUUGUGGUACACUCCUCACAAUCCUCCAUCUCGAUUUCUAUGUUUGGAGCUUCUGUGCCUUUCUGUUUAACAGCUCUACCUACACCAACUCUCUUUGGUGUCUUCAUCUUUCAUCAUAGGUGGUCGCCUUUUAUCACAGGCGUUUGCACCCCUUCAUUUAGGUGCUUCUACAACAGCUCAUCUUUUUCAUCCUUGCAUCCAUAGGAAAGGUCUUCGCCAGUUGUCUUCAUCAAGAGCACAAGAGACUUCCUGAUGUACAACUUCUACACAGUCUCUGCUCUGAGCUUCAUCUAGGAACUCUUCUUGUCCUUGCACAUGUUGUCUCAUUACAGUACCUCAUUGGAUCCUACGGGUACUCCUGCACAAUCUCCAUGGGCCUUCGUGCAAUUUCUGUUCUCCAGAUUUCUCUCUAUUCCUUGUUUAUGUUUGACAAUAACUCAUUCCGUCACAACACCUGUCCAAGUCAAAAUAGGGUGCCAAUCUUUAUCCCCUUGCUGUAUUUCUCUUCUAUUAUCAAGGUCUUCAUCAAUUCUCCCAUCGAGAAAUCACAGUCAGCGAAUCUAACUUCUUUGGAGAAAUCACCACUCCAUCAGAUCCUUGAACAUACAGAACCCAAACUGUUCCUUUGUGAUGUCGUCUUGCUAGUCUUUAACCAUUUCAUUACAAAUUGCUAUUUAUAUGAAAAUAGUAUCGUAUGGAUAAUCCUUCCACUAAGCAAGUUCCUAGGAAAGAUUGGAGGGGUCACACUAGUCCCGCUUAAAACCCAAUCUCAUAGCCAGAACUUCUUAAGCCAUAUCUAUCCAUCGUACUGUCUUUCCAUAAAUACAACCAUUUGCUAGCUUUGUUAUGGCUUUCCUUUACAAGUGAUCUAGAAUAUACUGGUUUAAUACAUGAUUUCUCAACAUCUGGCGAGACUACUAUUGUAACCUAUUUUUGGGUCCCCGCACAAAAAAGGAAAAAAUAUAUAAAUAUAUAGUCGGAAGAAAUUGGAAAAAUAAUAAUAGCAGUAGAAGGUUGGAGCGUGCAGAAAAUGGUCAAAACAAUUGAUUAAGAAGGUUAAAAAAUACAAAGAUUGAAAUUUUGACAGUAUAUACUUGAAUGAUGAGAGCCCUAUUGGAAAAAAAAAAUCAAUUUGAGGAAAAAAGUCCAAAAUUGGAUGUUUAUGGGCUCAAUUGGAUUUUAUUGAAGGUUUAAUUGAAUUUAUAGCGGGUUUGAUUGCAAGAAAAAUAGCUUUUAAAAUCAAUUUAGGCUUUAAUUGGAAGAAAUUAAAGUUUCAGGGUCAAAUAACAAUUUGUGAGAGUUGAUAUGGUCAAAUCAGUUGCUUAAUUACAUAAAUAUUGAAGUUUGAUGGCCAAUUAUGGAUUUAAUUGAAUAAAUCCAAAACCAAGGACCAAACUGGAAAAGGCGCGAAAAUAUAGGGUUCGAAUUGAAGUUUGUCAAGGGUGAAAUUAAACAAAAUUGAAAGUUUAAUGCCAAUCAGGGGUGUAAUUAGAGAUAAAUCACAAAUUAAGGGACUAAAUUGUAAUUGGCAGAAACAUUGCUAUUCAUCUUCUUCUUUAGAGAGGUUGCCCGAUGGGUCUCCUUCCCAAGGCGUUUGACGCCUCGUUACUUCCCCAAAUUAAAUGAAACCUGCACGAACACGAUACCUUGACACCUGACUACACCCUAGUAUAAAUAGUUUGGGCUGAUCGAGGCUGUAGAGGCGAUGGCACCGCCUCAAAGUGGCCAACCCGACCAACCAUUUUCCUUCACAAAACUGGCAGUUCAUCAUUGCUUCUUUGAAGUAGUGGUUGGAGUGUUUUUGGGUCGAACCAAGGGUCGAAAUUUGGCACUAAAAGAGACGAAGUGUUCCUCUUCCACCACCUAUAAAUAUAUGUGAUUUUCAUGCUUCAACGAGGGAGAAAUUUGGGUCCACAGAUAGCCAAAAAACCAGCCUCCCUGACCCGGUUUCUGUUGACAGCAUAACCUCCCUCUCUCUCUCUCUCUACCACGGCGUUCAGCCCCUAACAUCGUCACCACCAGCUUGAACACCUCCAUCUCCAUCACAAGCAACUGCCUGAAGACCCCAUAUAGUGAGCGCGCCGCCGAGCCCCUUUCCUCUACAACUUUUCUUCUGCCUUCACCAGCAACCGAUACCAGCCACCAUUACCUCCACUGAAGCCUACUGAGCCAUCGGCAGAACCUCCUCGUCGCAGCCAAGCUUCCAUCGUAGGUCAACUUCCUUCCCUUUUCCUUUCUUCUUCUUCUUCUUCUUCUUCCUCGGUGGUCUACACUGUUCACGCUGCACGUGAACAAUGGAGAGUAAUCCAUUGUUCAUUUAAAAAAAAAAUUAUUCCAAAAAAUCUUUUCUAAAUUUUUUUUGAUUUUCUCAUGUAUUUUUCUAUCUAUUUUGUGUAAUAUUGGUUUGUAUUUUUAUACUGUAAAUAUACAAAUUCGGUAUUAAAAUACCUGGUUUUCGUCAAAACAUUGCAAAAAAAUUAUAAAACAAAAAACAAAUAUAUAUUUUUUCAUGCAUACAGCUAAAUCUCUCAAAGAUUAAAAAAAAAUCAUCACAUCGUAUUUUCCUAUAUAAAAAAAAAAUCAUGCUAUUUACUCAUAAAACAAAAACAUUCAAAAAAGGUUUUAGCAUGCACUUUGGUUUUAAUAACAAGUUUGUUAGAGCCAUGAGAACUUGACAAAUAUUUCAAAAGUUCUAAAUAUUUUUGUCUUCUUUAGUAUCUAGGAUUACAAAUUUAUACAUAAAACGUAUUCUUAAUAUUAAAAAUAUAGUUUUUUUAUAGACGUUAGAGCGGUUAGGAUUUUACCCGAUAAGAUAAGGACCUCCUUAUUGAGGACGACUUUUUUUGAACCCUAAACAGAUUAAUAAUUAAAUAACACCUUAGCUUUUUAUCAGACAAUCAAACAAUGCAGCUUACCUUAGGUAAGGCGUAUUUGGGGUGCUAAUACCUUCCAUUUACACAACCAGUCUCCGCACCCGAUCUCUAAGACUAGUUAGGGUUUCUAGUGACCAAAAUACUAGGUGGCGACUCCCAUUCUAUUUUUCACUGAUAAAAGACAAGAAUUUCUUGUCUCCCCAUAUUUGACAGACAGGUAGAUACAUUUUAAAUUGAAGUGGAACAUUUUUGCUGCGACGCCGCACACGUACGAUAACUACCAGUGCUUAGAUUCGUCAAGAUUGGUCUUUGUCAAUUUUCACUCUACACCUCUAAUUAUCCACAUGAUCAGGUGUCUAGAGUGUCUCAAUUUUGCAUUUCUUCAAGGCAAUUAAAAUUUCUCCCCACUUAGCUGUUUAGCACAUGUAAUUGGGCAAACAUGUGCACUUUCUCCUUCUUCAUCUCCAUCGACCACCAUGAUGACCUUCAGAUGCCUCCUAAUCGGGCAAUCUCCUUUUUUAAUUCACCACCACCACUUUCGAUCUCAAUCUCAAUGAUCGGAUCGUACCAUUGCAUCCAGAACGAUCAAAUUGCAUUUCAGAAUGCCAAGAUUUGAUCAAAACAAUUAUGGCCUGAUGAGCGACCCAGAUUUAAUCUCAGAUUCGAUUGCACUUAGGAUCAGCUAUAUAGGAUCCUAUCCCUCAGCUCACGGCUAAUGACGUGGCAGAUGGUCCCACUGUGCUGACAUGUCAGAUGAUUGGGCGAUGACAUGGCAUGCUUACUGUACAUGCUGAUGUCACAAUUGUGUCAUGCUGUUGUCAUCCUUAUCCGGGGCAGUCACGUGGGUCGGGUCAUCUGGUAUUCAGGUCAGGUUAGCCCAUCCGAGCGAAGAGCGCCACGCCUCUCUUGCAGUGUUUUUAUCAUUCAAUGUUUGUCCCAGAAAAUUAAGGGGAAACAAGAGUGAGUUAAUCUUCUUUUAAUUCUUGGCGUUAGUUAUUUGGAAUGAUUUGGGACAAGGUUGGGAAAUAUAUGAAGUUAGAGGUGAUGAGGGCAGGUGUUUGUGGGCCUUUGAAGCUCGCUAUAUUCGCCAAUGACCUUCUUCCAGACAGUUAUCACAGGUAAAAUCCCUUUCUACAUACUCUGGGUGGUUUGUGUAUUGAUGCAUGGUGGUGGCAUGGAAAACUUAAGCAAUGAGCUCUCUAUGUACGAAGUUUGCUGCUUUAUGUUCGUUUCUUGCCAUGAUUGGGUCUUCUUACAUGCCAACCUGUUUUGUGAUUUAUUUUAAUCUGUAGCUUUUGGUGCUUUCAGUUGGCCAGUUUAAUCGAGGAGAGGGUUUCAGGAUGACAAAUAUUUGUUCUGGUUGGUCACUUCCUUGAGAUCAUGGAAGCAAGCUUUCCUGCUUUGCUUAUCAAAUGCCGCCAUGCAUAUAUAGUUUUGCAUCUUUUCUUUGCUCUUUUCCUAGCUAGUAUUGCAUCCUGUGUGAUUUAGCUUUACAAAUUGGGAAGCAGCUUUAUAUCUAUUCGAUUCUCUUCAUCUGCGUGAAUAGUCUAACAACUAACAAGAUACUUGAAGUAAGAAUCUUUGGCUUUGACUCGAUCUUCGUAUAUUCUUGGGAUGGAGUUUGCUUACAGUUCAUGUAACAAGUGGCCAAAUUAGCCCCCCUUUCGAAAUUGUAAUAAUUACAUCAACCCAGAUCAACCUGUUGACCAUAUGAUUCGAGUCAUGAGUUAGGGAUAAAGUCAUAAAAAAAUGAAGUUCAAUUUUAAACCAACUGAAUGUUAAAAGAUAAAUUUGAAAAAAAAAUCAAAUAGCAAAAAAAAACAAAAUAACCAUAGUCAACUUGGUUUAACUUACGACUCGGGUUAUGAGACUAUGAUAAAUUUAAAAAAAGCAAACCAAACAAAAUUAUAAAGCUCCAUUUCCAACAUAUCUAAUAUUGAAAGUUGAAAUUGAGAAAACAAAAAUCAAUAAAACUGGUAUAUAACCAAACAUAUAGAAAAAAAAAAAAAUAUGAAGUACAAUUCUCAAAACAAUCAAAGAUUAAAUGAUAAAAUUAAAAAUAUAUAAACGACUGAAUUGUUAAAAUGAUGAAAUUGAAAAAAAAAUAAACAAAAGGAAGGAAAAAAAUAUUAUUAUAUUAAAUAGUGUUUUGUGGGUGUGACCAUACUCUUUAGUGUUUUGGUAAUUUAUAAUAAUUAAUAAUUUUAUAAUUAAUGAAGUUUUAUACCAAAAUUAAUAUUUCUUUUGUUAAUAGAGAGAGAGAGAGAAAGAGAGUAUUUUGGUUAGAAGAACAAAAACAGAGAUAUAAAAAUAAAUUUGUUCUUAAGUUAUUCACUGUAUGAUGAUUAGUGCUUGUCAUUUCUGUUUUGUCUGCUACUACAAAAGGCUGACAAAAAACAAAAGUCUUGGUAAAGAGAUGCGUUGUUUGUUUUGGGGCUUUCUUCUCCAGGAAAUGUUUAGUGAUUGACCUGUAAAAACCUGUGCUCUCUUCCAUGCGAAGUUGGAUAAAGCUUUUUACAUUAGCUAUAGAUAUUUGAUGCAGAGGGGGAAAUGUAGGACUAGAUAUUCUCAUGAAUCUAUUGGAUGGGCGGUUCUAUCAGGAUAGGCACAGCUGAUAGCUACAUAAUGCACUAUAAACUGUAAAACCCAUCAUCAUCACUUGUAUCAAAUUUGGCACUAAAAUGUUAAGUUUUCACUGUCACAGGCAUUAGAAAUUUUAGUCUUCUCAUUUUCUAUCAUAUCCAACGUAAAAUAAUUUUCCAAUUCAGAAAUGAUGAUGCACAAGUUGUAACCAAUUUUCAUUUCUCUCCGUUGUCACUUCAUCAGAGUCUUGUUUUUACUGUUGUUUGCAUGAUGAUAUUUUCACAAAAUGAACCUCAACCUGGAUUAAAUUCCGGGAAAGAUUUUCCAAGACGGUACAUAGUUGGAAUAUCUGGUAACCACUUUGAUAAAAAUCUUCUAUAUCAGCAUUUGUCUUGAUUCAAAAUGGACAGAGAAAUCCGCGACUCAGACCCAACUCUUGAGAGACUAUAAGGAUUAUAACCAAGUAGAUUGACAGGUAACUUCUACCAUUUAUGUAGGGUUGAAAGUCUUGCUACGGUAUACCAUGAGCAUACUCUAGUCUGUAAUUCAUGAAAAUUCAGAGAAAAUACCAUUGCCAAGAAAAGGCCCAAAAAGACUUGUGUUUGGCUUCAGGCUCCACCCUUCUCUUUCCCAUAGGUUAUUUAAUGACCACCAGUAAGAUUACUUUCCAUAGUCAACAAAGUAAGACUAUUGGGAGAAGAUCUUCCUGAUAAAAGAGUUGUUGAAAAAAUUCUGGUAACUUUACCUGAAAGGUUUAAAUCAAAAAAAAUUUCCUUAGAAGAAUCUAAAGAUCUAUCAAAAAUAUCUUUGGUAGAAUUGCUCGAUGCUUUGCAGGCACAAGAACAAAGAAGAAUAAUACGACAAGAGGAGUUUAUGGAAGGAGCUUUUCAAGCCAAAAUGCAUGUUCAGAAAGGAGACAAAGGCAAAAAGAAGAUCAACAAAUGUAGUAAAAGAUCUGGAAACUUUCCUCCAUGUCAACACUGUAAGAAAACAAAUCACUUACAGAAAUAUUGUUGGUAGAGACCUAAUAUUAAAUGCAGAAAGUGUAAUCAACUGGGACAUAUGGAUAAGAUUUGCAAAAGCAAAACUAACGUGCAAGAAGAUGAAGCUCAAGUUGCAAAUCAACAACAUGAGGAGCAGUUGUUUGUGGGUACUUGUUUUGCUAGCAAACAUGCAAGUGAUUGUUGGCUGAUAGAUAGUGGUUGCACAAACCACAUGACAAAUGAUGAAAAUCUAUUCAAGCAACUUGACAAAUCAAGUGUUUCUAAAGUUAGAAUUGGAAAUGGUGAAUAUAUUCCUAUCAAAGGAAAAGGAACAGUUGCUAUUGAAGGAAAUUUAGGUAUAAAACUCAUUUCAGAUGUUCCUUUUGUUCCUUAAAUUGAUUAGAAUCUAUUGAGUGUUGGUCAGCUUCUUGAAAAAGGAUACUCAGUUGAGUUCAAAGACAAACAUUGUUCAAUUUAUGAUCCUGCUGGAUUAGAAAUAUUCACUAUAAAGAUGAAAGGAAAGGGUUUUUACUUGACUGGAUGGAAGAGGAGUCAGCUGCUUUUCUAAGCACAUCAAAUCAGUCAGAAUUGUGGCACAAAAGGCUGGGGCAUUUUAAUCCAGCAACAUUGAUGCAAAUGUAGAGAAAGAAGAUGGUGCAGGGAAUGCCAAAACUGGAUGAAGAAAUCAUAGUCUGUUCUUCUUGUCAAUAUGGCAAACAUAAUAGACUUCCAUUUCCUUUGAACAAGGCUUGGACAACAAUGAAAAAGCUUCAGCUUAUUCAUACUGAUGUUGUUGGACCUCUGAAAACAAUAUCACUUGGAAGCAAGUAUUAUAUUGCUUUCAUUGACGAUUAUACAAGAAUGUGCUGUGUCUAUUUCCUAAAGUUUAAGACUGAGGUAGCAAGUGUUUUUAUGAAGUUUAAAAACUGGAUUGAAAAUCAAAGUGGUCACAGAGUUCAGGCUGUAAGAUCUGAUAAUGGCACUGAAUACACAUCAAACAAGUUUGCCAAGUUUUGUCAUGAUGCAGGGAUUGAACAUCAAUAUACUACACCUUACACUCCUCAGCAAAAUGGUGUAAGUGAACGAAAAAACAGCACAAUCAUGGAGAUGGCAAGGUGUCUGUUAUUUGAGAAAGAUUUACCCAAAAGGUUUUGGACAGAGGCUGUGAGCACUACUGUGUUCUUGUUGAAUAGGCUGCCAACAAGAGCAUUACAAAACAAGACUCCAUAUGAAGCUUGGCACGGUUAUAAACCUUCACUCCAAAAUUUAAAGAUUUUUGGUUGCUUAUUGUCGAUACACGACGUCGGGCGACGGCUCCGCUCUUUUUGUUUAUUUAACAAAAAAAGAUUGUUUUAUUAUUGGGGGAAAUAGAUUUUAUUGGAGUCGCCAUCUAGUAAUUUGAGGGAACUAGAAAUCCCAAAUUAGACACUGGUUCCAAAGAUUCGAGUACUGGGUUAGUUAUGAUUAAGGGAAGGUAGACACCACCCUUAAAACAUCCUUUCAAAAGAAAGGUUACCCUUACUUGUGUGUUUUUUUAUUUUUUUUAAAUGAUAUUAUAUUUUGAGCUUAUUUGUAAUUUUAUUGUUUUUUUUUAUGGUUAACGUCGGUCCCUAAAAAUAGGAGACACAUUAAAAAUGACAUCAGUCCCUAAAAAUAGGAAACUUGUCUAAAAUAUUGACGUUUAACCCUAAAAAGGAGAUUUACGUCUGAGUUACCAAAAAACUAUGGACAUAAUCCAUAUUUGGUAUUUAAACUUUUGACAUCGGUCCUUUUCUAAAAAAGAGACGUGUCGACGAACAGUAUUUGUUUAUAAAAUAAAAAUUAUUUUUAUAUCGUUUGAGAAAUGGGUAUAACCGUAUUUGAAAAUUGGGCUUUGGACCCACGAAUGAUGACAUAAUAGGAUGGGUGUUGGACCCGCGUUGUUAUUCUUUUUUUUUUUUUGUGUUUAUUUUUUAUUUUACAACAUGCAAGAAAAUUUAUAUACAAAUAAAAAAAAUAUUAGCAAUCUAAAUAAAAUUACAUGAGUGACACAGUAUAGGUAAAAGACUGAAAUACCCUCGGAUUUAUCAGAAAUUUACGAAAAUGCCACUGGCGGCGCGUGUGGCUCACGCGUGGCUACUGUUGGUGGCGGCGAGAUUUUCAAGCGAGAUUUCUGGCCAACCGAUGGUCGGUUCUGGUAGAUCUGAGGUCGAGGAUUCUGUUGGUGGUGGUCUCGACGGACGUUGAUGGCUGAGGAGAGAGAAUCGAUGACUUGAAGCUUCGGUGGCCGGCGACGAUCGCGGCUUUUUUCCGGCCAGAUGAGGCGGUGAAAACGAUGAAAACCACCGGGGUUUUGCUUUUCAGGAGAUUGGAGACCUUUCUGUGGUGGUUCGGAGGCUGGAGACGGCCGGAUAUGGGAGAUCGGAGGAGAGAGAGAGAGUCGCCGGCGAGAGGAGAGAGAUGCUCCGAGAUGUGCUACGGUGCGGACGCGUGUAUGGUGUACCGGUGCCGCUGAAGGAUGGUAACCGUUGGAUCUUGGAUGAAACGAUCGGAUGGCUGUGAUUGACUAGAUCAGCAGGUUGAUCGGACGGCCCAGAUUGUCUGGUUUUUUGGCGCUAGAAGGAGGGCAUGUUAUUUAUUUGUGUAUUCACACACUUCACAGUGAACCCAUAAAAGCUCUGGACCCGAGCUCGUCCUUUUUAAGAUUAGAAAAGAAAGAUUCAGGUGGCAAGUGUGACUUAUGUCCACUGAUGCUCAUUUGGACUUUCGCUUGGAUUGUAACUCACCCUAUGCGACGGGUAUUGUGGAAUUUUCUUCCCAUACUCAUGUUGCUACCCAAUUUUUGACCCAUGUUUUUUUUAUAUAUUUUCAAAAAAAAUCCAAAAAAACAUUAAGAAAAAAUUUGAAAAUUUAAAAAUAUUUUUUUUUCUCUCUCGAGUCAACCGCAUCUCUUCAUUCAAACCAUGUCGACCAGGGUAAAAAAUGAGUUUCGGGCUGUUUCGGGUCAAAAAUAUCAUUUUCGACCAAAAUCGGGUUCACCGGGUCAAUACGGGUCAUACCAUGUUGACCAGGGUAAAAAAUAAGUUUCGGGCUGUUUCGGGUCAAAAACAUCAUUUUCGACCAAAGCCGAGUUCACCGGGUCAAUACGGGUCAAACCAUGUCGACCAGAGUAAAAAAUGAUUUAAUCCCGUUGCGCCACGUCAUCCGGUGCACCGAGCUUUCGGUGCACCGCGCCACACAGAAUAAAAAACCAGACAAUCUGGGCCGUCCGAUCAACCUGCUGAUCUAGUCAAUCACAGCCAUCCGAUCGUUUCAUCCAAGAUCCAACGGUUACCAUCCUUCAGCGGCACCGGUACACCAUACACGCGUCCGCACCGUAGCAAUCUCGGAGCAUCUCUCUCCUCUCGCCGGCGACUCUCUCUCUCUCCUCCGAUCUCCACUUUCCGGCCAUAUCAGCCUCCGAACCACCACAGAAAGGUUCCAAUCUGUAAAGCAAAACCCCGGUGGUUUUCAUCGUUUUCACCGCCUCAUCUGGCCGGAAAAAGGCCGCGAUCUCGCCGGCCACCGAAGCUUCAAGUCGUCGAUUCUCCCUCGUCAGCCAUCAACGCCGUCGAGACCACCACCAACAGAAUCCUCGACCUCAGAUCUACCAGAACCGACCAUCGGUUGGCCAGAAAUCUCGCCGAAAAUUCGCCGCCACCAACAGUAGCCACGCGUGAGCCACACGCGCCGCCAGUGGCAUUUUCGUAAAUUUCUGAAAAUCCGAGGGUAUUUCAGUCUUUUACCUAUACUGUGUCACUCAUGUAAUUUUAUUUAGAUUGCUAAUUUUUUUUAUUUUGUAUAUAAAUUUUCUUGCAUGUUGUAAAAAAAAAAAAAAAAAAAAAAAAAGAAUAACAACGCGGGUCCAACACCCAUCCUAUUAUGUCAUCAUUCGUGGGUCCAAAGCCCAAUUUUCAAAUAUAGUUAUACCCAUAUCUCAACGAUAUAAAAUAUUUUUUUUUAUAAACAAAUAUGUUGUCGACACGUCUCUUUUUUAAAAAGGACCGAUGUCAAAAGUUUAAAUACCAAAUAUGGAUUAUGUCCAUAGUUUUUUGGUAACUCAGACGUACUUCUCCUUUUUAGGGUUAAACGUCAAUAUUUUAGACAAGUCUCCUAUUUUUAGGGACUGAUGUCAUUUUUAACGUGUCUCCUAUUUUUAGGGACCGACGUUAACCAUAAAAAAAACAAAAAAAUUGCAAAUAAGCUCAAAAUAUAAUAUCAUUUAAAAAAAUAAAAAAACACACAAGUAAGGGUAACCUUUCUUUUGAAAGGAUGUUUUAAGGGUGGUGUCUACCUUCCCUUAAUCAUAACUAACCCAGUACCCGAAUCUCUGGGACCAGUGUCUAAUUUGGGAUUUCUAGUUCCCUCAAAUUACUAGAUGGCGACUCCAAUAAAAUUUUCAUUUCCCCAAUAAUAAAAAAAUCUUUUUUUUAAAAAAAAAAAAGAGCGGAGCCGUCGCCCGACGUCGUGUAUCGACAGAAUGGCGACUCCACUGGGGACAGGGUUGAACCAACUGCUUGUGUGUGCUUUUCAUUUUUUUUAUUGCUAUUUAUUUUUUGAGUAUUUAUUUUAUUUGCACUAUUUAUUUUAUGCAAUAUCAAUUGUAAAUCAUUUCAUUUUUUAAUUACACAUGCAUGCAUGUUAUUUAUUUGUGUAUUCACACACUUCACAGUGAACCCAUAAAAGCUCUGGACCCGAGCUCGUCCUUUUUAAGAUUAGAAAAGAAAGAUUCAGGUGGCAAGUGUGACUUAUGUCCACUGAUGCUCAUUUGGACUUUCGCUUGGAUUGUAACUCACCCUAUGCAACGGUAUUGUGGAAUUUUCUUCCCAUACUCAUGUUGUAUAAGGUUAAGAGGCCGAUACCCCAUGGGUAAUUCGGGCAAUCUAAGAACCAAAGAUGAUCUUUAAGAUUAGAAUCAACUGAGCCAAACCCUAUGAGCUAGAUCCUAUCAAUUAGGAUAUACCUUUAGGACACAAACAAAUAUCAAUGCAUUAACAUACAUGUUCAUAUACAUUUAUAUUCUCAUUAAAUCUCCACCGAUCCUCAUAGGAAGUGUGAGAUUAAAAAAAACCAUUACUAUUGAGGAAUUUUUGACCAGAUCAGAUUUGAACCAACAUGAUGAAGGGAUUGUUUGCCAUCAGAACAUGACAUCAAAUUUCUCCCCUAAAUCGGUUCAAGUCCCUGUAGGUUUGGAGUCCUCAGUGAGAACUUUUUUAAGAGAAUCUAUCUGGUCUGUUCCUCGUCAUAAUUAAAAAAAAUUUGAAACCAAUAACAAUCAUGCAUACACCAUAUGAUUUUGCAUCCAUUUGUGCAUUUCAUUUAGUUUACUUGCAUUCACUCAGGUUAAAAUAUAGAUCCCCCAAAAGGCCGUAAAAUUCAUUACACUCGACAACGAAGGAAGAUAAUGGAGAACGAAGAAAGGGCACACCUGGAGGCUCAUUAUCAAAGAGAGUUGGAGAACAUGAAAAAUGAUAUAGCACGACUUACAAGUCUACUCGAGCAGGCCCUAGUAUCCAAGUCUGGGGAAGGCACCUCUACUCAGCCGGCAGUUGCAACUCCAUCUAUAUCUAUGCCAUCAGCUCCCUUUGUUAUCCCGCCUCAAAAUUUAGGGGCAAAUCCCUCUUCAUUUGAACAACAGUUCACUGCCAAUGUUCCACCAGCACAAGUGCCAGUUAAUGUAAACCUGGCAACUGAUGACCCACAAAGGAUGAAAUUCUCUGAAAAUAUCGAUUAUGAUAAAUUGACCGCUCUGGAAGAGAGAUUGAAGGCAGUAGAAGGGGCAGACUUAUAUGAUCCUGUUUAUGCUGCAGAAAUGUGUUUAGUUCCAAAUGUAGUUGUACCCAGAAAAUUUAGGGUACCAGAAUUCAUCAAGUAUACGGGAACUGAAUGCCCAGUCACGCAUCUUAAAUCUUACUGCAAUAAGAUGGCAGAAGUAGUGAAUGAUGAGAAACUUCUCAUCCAUUUCUUUCAAGACAGUCUUUCUGGAUCGGCAUUAAGCUGGUAUACAAGGCUGGAUAACACCAAGAUCAGAAAGUGGAAAGAUUUGGUAAAAGCCUUUGUGGAGCAGUAUAAAUUCAACAUGGAGGUAGCCCCGGACAGGUCAAGCUUGUUAGUCAUGGAGAAGGGCAGCAAAGAGACUGUAAGAGAAUACGCUUUGAGAUGGCGUGAAAAAGCAUCGCAUGUGCAACCCUCUUUGUUAGAAAAAGAAAUGGUCACUCUGUUUUCUAACACUUUUAAAUCUCCAUACUUUGAACACCUGGUGGGUAGUUCAGCUCAGCAUUUCUAUGAUGCUGUAACUAUCGCUGAGAGAAUAGAACAAGCGAUAAGAGCGGGGAGAAUGUCAGAGCCUACUGAGAAGAAAGGCUUUACUGGGAAAAAGGAUGCCGAUGUGAACAAUGUGGAAGAAGUGUAUAAGGGUAUGAAAAAGAAUUACUAUCAUUAUAACUUCCAAAUACCUACCCAACAAGUUGCAAGUGUAAACUUCACUAAACAUUUCCCUACCAACCAACAAAAUCAACCAAAUAACCAAGAAAGUAACCAGAUUGUUAAUCCUCCAAGAAGGAAUUUUCAAAGAACCCAAGAACGACUGCCACCAUUACCACUUCCCUUAGGAGAAAUGUACUCGAAGUUGUUGAGUAUUGGGCAAAUAGCCCCUAUUCCCUUAACCCCACUGCAACCUCCAUACCCAAAUUGGUAUAAGACAGAUCUGAAAUGUGAGUAUCAUGCUGGCGCUGCUGGGCAUAACAUUGAAAGUUGUAAUGCAUUUAAGAACAAGCUUUUGCAAUUGAUAAAAGCUGGAUGGAUAUCUUUUGAUGAUGCACCAAAUGUGAAGUCCAACCCUUUGCCCAAUCAUGCAAGAGAAUUCAAAGAAGGGGAUCUUGUACUAUGAAAAUCUUGCCAUUACCAAGUGAAGACCGAAGCAAGUGGGCACCAAACUAUGAAGGCCCAUAUGUAGUGAAGAAAACACUAUCUGGAGGAGCUCUGUUGUUAAGUAGGAUGGAUGGAGAUGAUUUACCUAGGCCUGUGAACUCUGAUUCUGUGAAAAAGUAUUAUGUAUGAUGGUUUCAUCCAAUCAAAUCAAUAAAGUUUUGGCCAGGAAAUUCUCUUUGCAUUAUACCUCACCAAAAAGCCCAUGCAUGAUCUCAAUGGCUCAACAAUUUGAUCUUUCAAACUUUUUUUUACAGGAGAAUCCAUUCUUCUUAAAUGAGGUUUUAAAAGAACUGAUUUUGUUUGUGAUUUCAAUGAAAUAAAUCAAUGAUUUGUUUGGAAUAAUGUUCAGAGCAAUUCCCUUGAAAGAGAUGACCAAAAAAAAAAAAAACAUGCAAUUGGAACAACUAUCACCCAAAUUAUGUCUUGGAUCCACAUUUUAUCAGCAUGAAUAAUGGUUGGUAGUACAUUAGUUUGUCAUGGUCUCUUACAAAUCCAAGGCAUUACAUUGGAUGUGGACAAAGUUUAUUGGUUUUAACUGAUCUUACUUGAAAUGAGGAAAGGCCAUCUUUGAUAUUCCUUUCACUUUCUUUAAAAUUAUCCUUUGCAGUCCCAAUUUGAGCCGAGUCUAUUUAAAGCCUUUUCUUUCACAAGAACCUUAACUAAGAUCACACCCUACACUAGGGGGCAAACAGAGAAAUAUGAUUAAGAAAAUUGUCUUGAAGGCAUGUGAGCUUUAAAGAAAGUCUGACAACAAAGAAUUCAAUAAAUUCCAAACAAUUGAGAGAAUUCCUAACAAAUAUGGGAAUAACAAAAAAAAACAGAAGUUCCUCAUUUGGAAUAUUUAUCAUCAUUUUUGUUGUCAAGGUAGCAAAAGAAAAUGCCAAGACAAGAUAAUAGUGAUCUAUAGUUUAUAAGCCCUUAAACACUUUUUGAGCUUAUGGAAUACUCUUUCUUUUAUAGCCUUGAGCCAUAAAUACAUUACGUGCCUUUGAAGUCCUUUCUAAUCAAGUAAGCGACCUGGAUCAAUAAACGGCGUUCUCAAAAUAUAAGAGACUUUUCCACAAAGAGUCAUGCAUAGCAAAUAAUUACUCAUUAUUAUUCAUGCUGUUAAAAAGAGUGUUUCUAAAGAUAAAAGGCAAAUUGUUUCUUUUCUCUCAAAAUACCUUCAAGCAAUCGCUUGAACACUUUGAAAACCAAAGCAGAAGGUCAUCUCAUCACUUACCUUCAUCUUAGAUUACUUUUACCAAGAGAUUUGACAUAAAGCCCCAGAAUUGCCUGAACAUUGUUAUAAACAGACAUUGAGAGUUUCAGUUUUCGGAACAAAACAGAUCUUUUAAAAAAUCAUUUUUGAAAAAAGGUUUUCUUUGUAAGAAAAAUGAAUAUAACACUACAGGCACCAUUAGAAAAUCAGAGAUUCUAAUGACAACAAGAGCAAAGGAGGAAAUGAAAUGAGGCAGUUAAUUCUCCCAGGGGGCAGAGAAGCAGUUACCAGAUCCUUAACACAAAGAAAUUUGCUUCCCUAGUGGAAAAUACACAUGAUAAAACUGUGGACUUCUUCUAGCAUGCGGACUGAAAUAGUAUGAUUUUCAGUAUCUAUGAAAGGAGAUUGUUGACUCUUACAAUAUGAUCAGUUAGACAACAAGAUAACUGAUACAUCUUCAGUAAGAGAAAUGCAGAUGAAAUCUCAGGACAAUGUCGGGCCACGGAGAAGCUGAUUCUCUUAGUGAAGUUACCAAUAGAGAAACGUGCAGUGACUGUUGGGAAACUCAAAAAAGUGGACAACAUGGGUCAGCUUGAGUAGACUUGAAGUACGCGUAAAUCAAAAGAGCUCACUCAAAGUCAAAACCCUCAAACAAGAUGAACGGGGAUCUAUAUUUCAAAAACAGGUAAGAUGCAUUGCAUAUCAUCUCACUUCACAAGCAUCGCAUAUUUGUUUUGCAGAUAUCUCUCGAAACAAAACUCCUCAUGGGAUCCAACGAGACAAAGAUGAAUUGAAGUUCUUUUAAAUCAUAUCAAAUAUGGCAAUUCCACAAAGGCAAAAUUCAUGAAUGAAGACGAGAAGAUGGAUUUUUAUUCAUAGGCAUAAUGGUUUACAAGUACAAACGUUAAACACUGUGAGGACGAUUAGGGAUAUUUUCAUCUUGAUGGCCAAUCAUGCCUCGGAAUUCCUCAAAUUGCUUAUGCAUGCGCUCCAUCUCUUCCUCGAACUCGAGGUGUCGAGUGUUAACAUAGUCCCUCCAAAAGUCAACACGUGCAUUGAGCUCUUGGUUUCUCCUCUCCAAUUCGUUCCUGUAACGUCUCUCAUCAUGGAGCCUUUUCCUUAAAUUCUCAAUCUGAUUAUGGAGCUCAGGAAUUUGAGUAUUCAACUCAAGUCUUCUGGCAUGAAGACGCUCCGCAACAUUCACCAAAGACGAAGUAGCUCUGAUACUAAGAGCAAGUGACUGAUUCACUGCUUCAAUAUCGGUCCUCGCUGCCAGCAUCAUUUCAUCACGAGGAAGGAUCAUGUCUCUAGCCACGGCUACAGCGGUAUCUUCAUCGUCCAUUACAGUAUCCUCUAUUGUAACUGGACGACCAUUCACUUCAAAGGUUGUACGCCAAACUACAGGCUCUGCCAGGAACAAGGUUUGGAUUAGCAUUGGAAGAAGAGGAAGACAUGGUUAAAACUUCAAAAGUUAAGAACUUUGAGAGUAUUGAAAAUGUGAGAAGUGGAUGAUGUCUUUUGCCCAAUAUUGCGUGAUUUAUAGGGAAUUUUCUCCUGCCAUCAUUUUCAAUAGAAGAUCAGAUCUUAGCCGUGGAUACAAAACUUCCUUGGGAAGUUUUCCUCAUCUUUUGGGAUCCAUUUUCAAAUCAAAUCCCAACCGUACAUAUAAGACUUUCUUGAGAAGUUUUCCUGAUCCAUUCACAACUCAGAUCUCAACUGUACAUAUAAGACUUUCUUGAGCGUCGUCUUUGAGAUUGAUUUGCAAAUCAGAUCUCAACUGUACAUGUAAGACUUUCUUGAGUGUUAUCUUUGAGAUUGAUUUGCAAAUCAGAUCUCAGCUUUACAUAUACGACUUUCGUGAGAAGCUUACAUCAUCUUUGAGAUCGAUUUACAGAUCAAAUCUCAACCGUACAGGUAUGACUUCCUUUAGAAGUUUUCAUCAACCCUGAAGCUCAUUCACUUUCAAGCAUUUUAUCAUCGGGCAGGUCGCCUGGAACAAUUAGACCACUUGCGAUUUUCAUCGCAUUUUAUCAUCGGGCAGGUCGCCUGGAACAAUUUGACCACUUGCGAGUUUCCUCGCAUUUUAUCAUCGGGCAGGUCGCCUGGAACAAUUAGACCACUUGCGAUUUUCAUCGCAUUUUAUCAUCGGGCAGGUCGCCUGGAACAAUUUGACCACUUGCGAGUUUCCUCGCAUUUUAUCAUCGGGCAGGUCGCCUGGAACAAUUAGACCACUUGCGAGUUUCAUCGCAUUUUAUCAUCGGGCAGGUCGCCUGGAACAAUUAGACCACUUGCGAUUUUCCUCGCAUUUUUUUUCAUUCAUCGGGCAGGUCGCCUGGAACAAUUAGACCACUUGCGAGUUUCCUCGUAUUUUUUUUCAUUUAUCGGGCAGGUCGCCUGGAACAAUUAGACCACUUGCGAUUUUCAUCGCAUUUUAUCAUCGGGCAGGUCGCCUGGAACAAUUAGACCACUUGCGAGUUUCCUCGCAUUUUAUCAACGGGCAGGUCGCCUGGCCGUGGAACAAUUAGACCACUUGCGAGUUUCCUCGCAUUUUUUUCAUUUAUCGGGCAGGUCGCCUGGAACAAUUAGACCACUUGCGAUUUUCUCGCAUUUUAUCAUCGGGCAGGUCGCCUGGAACAAUUAGACCACUUGCGAGUUUCCUCGCAUUUUAUCAUCGGGCAGGUCGCCUGGAACAAUUAGACCACUUGCGAGUUUCUCGCAUUUUAUAUCGGGCAGGUCGCCUGGAACAAUUAGACCACUUGCGAUUUUCAUCGCAUUUUAUCAUCGGGCAGGUCGCCUGGAACAAUUAGACCACUUGCGAGUUUCCUCGCAUUUUUUUUCAUUUAUCGGGCAGGUCGCCUGGAACAAUUAGACCACUUGCGAUUUUCAUCGCAUUUUAUCAUCGGGCAGGUCGCCUGGAACAAUUAGACCACUUGCGAGUUUCCUCGCAUUUUAUCAUCGGGCAGGUCGCCUGGAACAAUUAGACCACUCACAAAAUUCUUUACUUCACAUUCUUUCUAUUUGGGUAGGUCGCCCAUCACAACGAGACCACUUCAUCAUAUUUUUUCCAUCUGGGUAGGUUACCCAUUACAAUGAGACCACACUUCAUAUUUUUUCCAUUUUUGGGUAGGUCACCCAUUACAAUGAGACCGCACUUCACAUUCUUUCUAUUUGGGUAGGUCGCCCAUCACAACGAGACCACUUCAUCAUAUUUUUUCCAUCUGGGUAGGUCACCCAUUACAAUGAGACAACACUUCACAUUAUUUUCCACCUGGGUUGGUUACCCAUUACAAUGAGACCACACUUCAUAUUAUUUCCAUUUUUGGGUAGGUCACCCAUUACAAUGAGACCGCACUUCAUAUUCUUUCUAUUUGGGUAGGUCACCCAUCAUAAUGAGACCAUUUUUUUUUUUCACAUUCUUUCCACCUGGGUUGGUUACCCAUUAUAAUAAGACCACGUUUUACACAUUCUUUUGUUUUGAUUGAAUGAGGAUUGCCUGAUGGGAUCUCAUGUAGCUUUGGGUUAAAGGGAAUCUCCAUAUGGGAUUUCAGGUUGACCGAGCUACACACAUUCUUUGGUUUUGGUAAAGGAGGUCACCAGAUGGGAUCUCAGGUUAACGAAAAAAGAGAGACAGAAAGAAAAGUUUUUUUUCUUUACAAAGCUUACUAUGCAAAACAUCGAGGAUUUUUGCUUCGUAAGCAUUGUAAAGAGGGGGCAUCUGUUGCUACCCAAUUUUUGACCCAUGUUUUUUUUAUAUAUUUUCAAAAAAAAUCCAAAAAAACAUUAAGAAAAAAUUUGAAAAUUUAAAAAAUUUUUUUUUCUCUCUCGAGUCAACCGCAUCUCUUCAUUCAAACCAUGUCGACCAGGGUAAAAAAUGAGUUUCGGGCUGUUUCGGGUCAAAAAUAUCAUUUUCGACCAAAAUCGGGUUCACCGGGUCAAUACGGGUCAUACCAUGUUGACCAGGGUAAAAAAUAAGUUUCGGGCUGUUUCGGGUCAAAAACAUCAUUUUCGACCAAAACCGAGUUCACCGGGUCAAUACGGGUCAAACCAUGUCGACCAGAGUAAAAAAUGAGUUUCGGGCUGUUUCGGGUCAAAACCGUCAUUUCUGACCAAAACCGAGUUCACCGGGUCAAUACGGGUCAUACCAUGUCGACCAGGGUAAAAAAUGAGUUUCGGGCUGUCUCGGGUCAAAACCGUCAUUUUCGACCAAAACCCGGUUCAUCGGGUCGAUACCCAUCAAAUGUUUUUUUUGGUAUUCUAUUUUUUGGCGGUUGAAAUGAGAUUUUUCUAAUACUGAUUUGAAUUUUAGUUUUACCCAUGUAAAUAUUUAUUAUUAUAUAUAAUAAAACAAAAUUAUGGUAGUUGUGUGCAAUAUUUAUUAUUAUAUAUAAUAAAACAAAAUUAUGGUAGUUGUGUGCAUUAUUUAUUAUUAUAUAUAAUAAAACAUUUUUAUGGUUGUUGUCCCGUGGCUAUAAAUAGCCACGAGAGGGGGGCAGAAGGAGAAACGGGAAAAAAUAAAAAAGGAAGAGAAAAGAAAAAAAGAAAGAAUCGAUUGAUACUAUUUCUAAUUUUUUUAGUUUUUUCUUCAGGAGAGUAGGAUAUUGUCUUUUAAAAAAAAAAAAUUAAAAAAUACCAAACAUAUCCGAACACAUCUCAGCCGUUAACAUAUUCCAGGAUUUAAUCUCGUUGCGCCACGUCAUCCGGUGCACCGCGCCACACAGAAUAAAAAACCAGACAAUCUGGGCCGUCCGAUCAACCUGCUGAUCUAGUCAAUCACAGCCAUCCGAUCGUUUCAUCCAAGAUCCAACGGUUACCAUCCUUCAGCGGCACCGGUACACCAUACACGCGUCCGCACCGUAGCACAUCUCGGAGCAUCUCUCUCCUCUCGCCGGCGACUCUCUCUCUCUCCUCCGAUCUCCCAUAUCCGGCCGUCUCCAGCCUCCGAACCACCACAGAAAGGUCUCCAAUCUCCUGAAAAGCAAAACCCCGGUGGUUUUCAUCGUUUUCACCGCCUCAUCUGGCCGGAAAAAAGCCGCGAUCGUCGCCGGCCACCGAAGCUUCAAGUCAUCGAUUCUCUCUCCUCAGCCAUCAACGUCCGUCGAGACCACCACCAACAGAAUCCUCGACCUCAGAUCUACCAGAACCGACCAUCGGUUGGCCAGAAAUCUCGCUUGAAAAUCUCGCCGCCACCAACAGUAGCCACGCGUGAGCCACACGCGCCGCCAGUGGCAUUUUCGUAAAUUUCUGAUAAAUCCGAGGGUAUUUCAGUCUUUUACCUAUACUGUGUCACUCAUGUAAUUUUAUUUAGAUUGCUAAUAUUUUUUAUUUGUAUAUAAAUUUUCUUGCAUGUUGUAAAAUAAAAAUAAACACAAAAAAAAAAAAAGAAUAACAACGCGGGUCCAACACCCAUCCUAUUAUGUCAUCAUUCGUGGGUCCAAAGCCCCAAUUUUCAAAUACGGUUAUACCCAUUUCUCAAACGAUAUAAAAAUAAUUUUUAUUUUAUAAACAAAUACUGUUCGUCGACACGUCUCUUUUUAGAAAAGGACCGAUGUCAAAAGUUUAAAUACCAAAUAUGGAUUAUGUCCAUAGUUUUUGGUAACUCAGACGUAAAUCUCCUUUUUAGGGUUAAACGUCAAUAUUUUAGACAAGUUUCCUAUUUUUAGGGACUGAUGUCAUUUUUAACGUGUCUCCUAUUUUUAGGGACCGACGUUAACCAUAAAAAAAAACAAUAAAAUUACAAAUAAGCUCAAAAUAUAAUAUCAUUUAAAAAAAAUAAAAAAACACACAAGUAAGGGUAACCUUUCUUUUGAAAGGAUGUUUUAAGGGUGGUGUCUACCUUCCCUUAAUCAUAACUAACCCAGUACUCGAAUCUUUGGAACCAGUGUCUAAUUUGGGAUUUCUAGUUCCCUCAAAUUACUAGAUGGCGACUCCAAUAAAAUCUAUUUCCCCCAAUAAUAAAACAAUCUUUUUUUAUUAAAAUAAACAAAAAGAGCGGAGCCGUCGCCCGACGUCGUGUAUCGACACUUAUGUUUCACCUGUGUUCCUCAGGUAAGAAGAGAUAAACUUGAAAAAAAGGCUAAAGAUGGCAUCUUUGUUGGCUAUAGAGUCUUUCAACCUCAAACAAAAAAGGUGAUAGUUAGCAGAGACAUCAAAUUCAUUGAAACCGAAAAACGGAACUUCAAAGAUGCAAGUGCAGGUAUGGAGAUUGUGCAGGAUGUUGAUGACAUUGAUGAAGCACCAGUUAGAGGAACUAAGUUGCUUACAGAUAUUUAUCAAAGCUGCAAUGUAGCUGUGUUAGAACCUGUAGAAUUUGAAGAAGCCAAAAAUGAUCCAAAAUGGAUUGAUUGAAUGAAUGAAGAGUUAAGGAUGAUUGAGAAUAAUCAAACAUGGAAAUUGGUGGACAUGCUAGAGCACAAAAAACCUAUUGGAGUAAAAUGGGUUUACAGAACAAAAUUGAAUGUUGAUGGCAUUAUCAACAAACACAAAGCCAAAUUGGUGGUUAAAGGUUAUGCACAGAUUUUUGGUGUUGAUUUUUCAAAGACAUUUGCACCAGUUGCAAGCCUGGAUACCAUAAGAAUGCUACUAGCUCAAAAAGGUUGGAAAAUCUUUCAACAUGAUGUGAAGUGUGCAUUCUUGAAUGGCUAUCUGCAUUAGGAGAUUUUCGUUGAAUAGCCAAAAGGAUUUGUUGUAAGAGGAGAAGGAAGAAAAGGAUUACUUAUUGAAGAAAGCUUUAUAUGAGUUGAGAAUAAUUAGGAGGCUUAACCCAAUAGUUAACCAACCCUUUCUAUAUAUAUGAGUAGGGCAAUAUACAAUAGUAAAGGUGGAGUUUACCACAUAAGAAUAUGACUACAAUAUUUCCUAUAUAGUUACAUUCUAUAAUACGCCCCCUCAAGCUGAGGGUGGAGGAUCAACCCGAAGCUUGAAUCGAAAAGCAAUAAACGAAGCAGCAGGAAGUGGUUUAGUGAAGACAUCGGCAAGUUGAUCCUGAGAGGAAAUAAAACGAAUCUAAAUAUCCUUCUUCGCAACUCUAUCUCGGAAAAAAUGAUAAUCAAUCUCAAUAUGUUUUGUGCGAGCAUGAAAUAUAGGGUUUGCGGACAAAUACGUGGCACCAAGAUUGUCACACCAGAUAAUAGGGGCAGAAGGAGUCGGAAUCUGAAGAUCCGUUAACAAGUACUGAAGCCAGAUAACUUCAGUCGUGCCAUCGGCUAAGGCUUUGUACUCAGCUUCCGUCGAAGAAUGAGCAACAGUGCGUUGCUUACUCGAUUUCCACGAAAUCGGCGUCUGACCAAAGAACACAAGAUAACCACCUGUAGACUUUCUAUCCUAAAUACUACCUGCCCAAUCUGCAUUUGUAAAACCGUGUAAAGCAAAAGAAGAGUUGCGAGUAAUAUGUAAACCAUGUGAUGCCGUACCACGAAGAUAACGCAAGAUGCGUUUCAUGGCUGCCCAAUGAGAUUCUAUAGGAGCAUGCAUAAAUUGACAGACCCGGUUAACAGCAAAGCAAAUAUCCGGACGUGUGAAAGUGAGAUAUUGGAGAGCACCAACAAGUUGCCGAAAACGAGUAGCAUCAGAAAACAAUGGAUCCGGCAUAAUGGUGGCUUUGGAUGCCGAAAUAGGAGUAUCAACUAGUUUACAGGAUAACAUACCAGCUCGUGUGAGGAUAUCAAGUGUAUACUUAUGUUGGCAAAGCAUAAGUCCCAGACCAGUACACUGCACUUCAAUACCCAAGAAAUAAUGAACAUCACCCAAAUCCCAAAGUUUAAACUAUGAGCUCAGUAGCUGAAUGAGGCGUUGUAGCAGAAUUCCAUUAUUACCCGUAAGUAGAAUAUCAUCAACAUAAAUCAAAAGAUAACAAAUAUCACUACCAACCGAGAAGAUAAACAAUGAGGUAUCCACUUUAGAAGCACAUAAACCAAUGGAUAAUAGGAAGUCAUUCAGACGAGUGUACCAAGCCCACGGAGCCUAUUUUAACCCAUAUAGAGAUUUAUGCAAUUGACAUACAUGACCUGGGAGUGCAGAAUCAACAAAAUCUGGAGGUUGUUUCAUGUAAACCUCUUCAUCAAGGACUCCAUUUAGAAAUGCAUUAUGAAUGUCAAGCUGAUGAAUUUUCCAACCACUCGAAAUUGCAGUCCAUUAUAAUAAUGAUAGGCAAAAAAGGUUCAUUGUGGCGUAAAAGACAAUUUAGACCAAUAUAAAUGACUAGUCGUUGCAUUUGAUGGGAUUGACUCGUGUGUUAAUUGUACAUUACCUUGCACAUUAAAGUUUCAUGCACCUAUUUCAUUUUAUUUUUUUUCCAUAUUAAAGAGUAACAAGUAAAAUCAUAUAUUUAUUAGCAUCAAGCAAAAAGGUUUUACAAUUUAUUCUUCCACAUAAUUUAAUUUUAAAUAAUAAUGUUUUGAAUCUCUCUCUCUAAUUCUUGAUACAUUCUUGAUAUAUUUAUGACCUAACACUUGUUAACCUUUCAAAUAAUAAUAAGGCUAUUAGAGUUCUCACCUCCUCUUAAAGAGGACCUUUACAGCCUUGUGAGGGUAUGCUGAAUUCUCUCUCCAAUUCUUGAUACAUUCUUGUUUAAUGAAGCUGAACCAAACAUAGCACGGUUGUCAUCUUGCGUCUUAAAUAUGCUAGUGUCUAAGAGGGUGGACUGUUCGAUUUUACUGUUUUUUGGUCCCAUCCAUAUUAAAUAUGUUUGUGUUUCUAGAUAUGGGAUCAUUACUGAUAACUAUGAAUUAUUGCCCGUUCAUUUGUGGUAUAAUUAAUUCCUAUAUAUAUCAGUAAUUUCCUAACUCCAUUAAUAGUUAAAUUUGAGGUCAUUAUUUUCUCCCAUUUCCACGUUUAUCCAAAUAUUGUUGCACUUUGUUUCCAAGUGACGUAUAAUUUCCAAGUUCCAAUCCAAUUGUCAAUACAUUGAAAGAAAUUUCUGUAAAGAAUCAAGGGGAAUGUGAAAAACAGCAACAUUAUUGUUCAGUCUCCAAAAUGUUUCUUCGCAUAAUUUGAUUUCUCCAAUUAUUUGGAGAAACAGUUUCCCUUCUUAGUCAAGCCACUAAGUAAAUACAAGCUGAAUUCUGGAAUGGCAAUAUUCCAUGGCUUUCUAAUUGUUUCUUAGCACAAUUAUUUGUCCAGUCUCCAAAAUGUUCUGUUUGUGUGCUUUUUAGUUUUUCCCCUUCUAAGCCAGCAGUGGAGAACAGUAGCUUUGAUUGUGAAGGCACGACAAAAAGCCGAGGAGAAAACGAGCAAGGCCGAAGAAGGAUUUAGUGCAUGAGUCAACGGCAACUAUAGGUACUUCUCCCUCACAUGUGCUUUUUCACAUGCACGCUUGUGUAUGUUUACCACUCUCCAUAGAGACUGUGUUCAGUAAGGAACAAUUUGUAACUUGUUUUUGUAGGCAUGGACCAAGCUAAUGCAGAGGAGUGCGAGGCCACACAUGAAAUAAUUACUCUUCAAUGGAUUUAAGACCUCACAAAUUCUUCUUCCCCCUCUGAUCAGUACUGCAGUAUAUUUCCUGUUGUGUAUUGCUGGAAACUGAAACGAUAACUUUGUAGUUGGAUCAUGCUUAGUUCAAAUCAUUGGGAUAUUUUCUCCCUUGCAGAAUGGUUACUGUUUGUGUUGUGGUCUGAAGUUACAGUUGCUAUUUACUGUCUGGAACAUGCACUCAGCAUAGAUACAGUAUAUACUGCUGCGGGAUUCUACCGUACAUCUACUAGUUACAGCACUUUCACCACUCCUGGGAGCAAGAAUCUAUCUAACAUGCUUACUUGAAGAAUUUACUCAGUCUUGGGGUAAUAGUUAAUGCUUCUAUUUGCUUUUCUCAUGGUAAAAAACCUAGACCAUCCUUUUAUUUUCAUGUUGAGCUGAAACAUUUAUCAUAUUUUCAAAUUGGAGGAGGACUUGACUGCACAACUUGCCAACUGCCAUGCCUAUAUGUUGAUGAUUUGAUAUUCACCGGCAACAACCCUAUCAUGUUUGAAGACUUCAAACAAAGCAUGGUACAAGAGUUUGAGAGGACAGACAUUGGUCUAAUGUCACAUUUUCUUGGCUUAGAAAUAACGCAGAAAAAAGAAGGGAUUUUUGUAUCCCAAAGCGGUUACGCCAAAGAUAUUCUUGAAAGGUUCAAGAUGGAAAGCUGCAAUCCGGUAUCAACUCCAGUUGAGAAUGGAGUGGAAUUGAGGAAGAGUAGAGUUGAAAAUGUUGAUCCAACUUACUUCAAAAGCUUAGUAGGCAGCUUAAGGUACUUGACAUGUACCAGACCGGAUAUACUCUACAGAGUCGGACUAAUCAGCAGAUAUAUGGAGACACCAGACCAGUCUCACUUGAAUGCAGCCAAGAGAAUUCUUCGCUACAUCAAAGGCACAAUAAAUGAAGGUAUGUUUUAUACCUCAAGUAAAGAUUUCAAUCUUGUAGGCUACUCGGAUAGUGAUUGGGAUAGAGAUCUGGAUGAAAGGAAAAGCAUAACAGGGUUUUUCUUUUUCAUGGGAGAUACAUCUUUCACAUGGUCAUCCAAGAAGCAAUCAAUUGUAACGUUAUCAAGCCGUGAAGCUGAGUAUGUUGCUGUCAACUCAGUUGUAUGCCAUUCAAUAUGGUUAAGGAAUAUGCUGAAGUUUCUGCGAUUUCCUUAAGAAAAUCCUACAGAGAUUUAUAUUGUCAAUCGAUCAGCGAUUGCAUUGGCAAAGAACUCGGUGUAUCAUGAAAGAAGUAAACACAUUGAUGCACGUCAUCAUUUUAUCCGAGAGCAUGUGAAAAAUAAAGAAGUCGAGCUGAUAUCCUGCAAUACAAAUGAUCAAGUUACAGAUAUCUUCACAAAGCCAUUGAAGGGAGAAGUAUUUAUCAGAUUAAAGUUCAUGCUUGACAUGACAUCCCUCGAUUGAGUUUAAAGGGGAGAUUUGUUGAAGUAAACUCAAUAUCUAGAAGGUCAAGCAAGACAACCACCCAUCACCACUUGCAGCCACCAGCUGCCACCAACCGCAGCCGCCAGCCGCCAGCCGCCUUCACACUUGAAGGUUGAAUUUUCUUGUUUUGAAUUCGUGUAUAAAUAGGCUGCUAAGCUUAUGUUAUUAUGUGUGGAGAGUUUAGAGAGCAACACUAGAAAGAGAGAGAGAGGGUGUGUAUUAAGAUUUUGUGUUAGUGUAAGCUUUUUGUUUUUGAAAUAAAACUUUGUGUUUUAUCCCCUCUGAGUGUUUCAAAGCCACCACCAGUGGUUUCUCCCACCAACAAUUGGUAUCAGAGCCUUGUUCGUCAGAAAACAUAAGUGUUUUGGGAUAUACCCGAAUUUUCAAAGUUUUUAUCAUUCCACAAUGUAGAGCUCAUCAAUACGAACUCACUGGUGCAAGAAUCAGCCUCAUCGAAGCCCAAGGUGAGCCACACGCGCCGCCUUAAGAUUCUGCACAGGUCGCCCACGCGCAUCCCACGUGCGCCAAAUGUUGAAGACGAGUUCCAUCUAAGCCGAGCCAUCCUCCACGCCGAGCCGAGCCGUUUAAGCCGUGUCCUAGCCGAGCCACAAGUCAAGUGCAGCCGAGCCGUCCUCCGCGUCGAGCCGAGCCGUUUUCUAGUCACAGCCGAGCCGACAGAAUAUUCCCGGUUCGCCCCCAGCAGUUUUUUGACUGGUUCACCCCAUUUGUGACCCAUUUUCAACAAGGUCAGACCAAUUCCCUAUUAUUUUAAGUAUUCCUGAUCGAUCUACAAUGUCCGUUUUGCCAAAUUCAGCUCCCAUAAGGUGAUAUAGUCAUUCAAAGAGCAAAAUGACUACAGAAAGUACACAAACACUCAUCCCGAAGCUGACCAAAGAUAACUAUGAUAGUUGGUGCAUCAAAUUAAAGGCAUUCCUUGGUUCACAAGAGUGUUUAUAUAUUGUACAAUAUGAUUAUGAUGAACCAGAGUCCAAAGAAGCAGAAGAUGCUCUACAAGAGGCACAAAAGCAAGCCCUGAAAGUCAACAGAAAGAAAGACAACAAAGCAAAGACCAUCAUCUAUCAAGGUCUUGAUGAAGAUACAUUCGAGAUCAUUGUUUCCUCUGAAACAUCAUAUGACAUAUGGGAGACUCUCUAACAAAAAUACAAAGGUGCUGACAUAAUCAAGAAGAUUCGUCUUCAAUCUUUGUGAGGUGAAUUUGAGUUAUUGGAAAUGAAGUCUUCGAAAUCUAUUUCUGAUUAUCACACAAGAAUUAUGGUGAUAGUCAAUCAAAUGAGAAGAAAUGGAGAAGCCAUCACAGAUUCUCGAAUUACUGAGAAAAUUUUGAGAUCCCUAGAUCUAAAAUUUGAUUUUGUUGUUGUCGCCAUUGAAGAGUCCAAAGAAGUGGACAAGUUAAUAGUGGAUGAACUUAUGAGUUCUUUGCAAGCUCAUGAGCAAAAGAUCGUAAAGAGAAAUGGAGAUAAGGCAAUUGAGCAUGCCUUACAAGCAAAGUUAUCUUUCAAAGUCAGAUAUGAGCAAGGGGAGACUUCAACAAGUGGAUAUACCACUCAAGCAAGAAGUCAAUAAUCGAGAGGAGGAUUUCAGCGAUUCCAAGGAAGAGGAUCUUGGAAUACAGGCUUUAGAGGAAGAGGUGGUAGAAACAUCACCAGAGGAGGUCGAGGACAACAAGCAUUCAUUCCUAGAGGAAGAGGAGGCGGUUACAAUAACCGUGACAAGAGGAAUAUCCAGUGUUAUAGUUGCAAUCAAUUUGGGCACUAUAGCACUGAAUGUCGAAGGAAAGCUCCGUUAGAGAUACGAGAGCAAGCCAACUAUGCAGAGAAGGAUGACAGAGAAGUAGUUGCAUUACUUGUCCAACAAGGACUUGUUGAGAAACAUGAGAAUAUAUGGUAUCUAGAUUUUGGAGCCAGCAAUCACAUGUGUGGUCACCGAGAUUUAUUUGGUGAUCUAGAUAAGACCGUACAAGGUCUAGUUACGUUUGGAGAUACCUCAAAGGUUCUAUUCAAAGGUAAAGGCAACAUCCCAAUCAACUUGAAGAACGGCGAUCACAGCUACCUCGCCGAUGUUUAUUAUGUCCCAGCCAUAAAGCAGAACUUGAUCAACAUAGGUCAACUUAUGGAGAGAGGUUGUACUCUUUUCACGAAGAAUUGUCAUUUGACAAUUACAGACUACAAUGGGAGACUAAUUGCCUAUGUGAAAAUGUCCAAGAAUAGGAUGUUUCCUUUAAACAUCCAGUAUGAUGCAGCAAAGUGUUUGAGCGCCAUCACCAACAGUGAAGAAUGGCUUUGGCACCUAAGGCUUGGACAUCUGAAUUUCACGAGUCUGAAGAUGCUAGCAAGCAAGAAGAUGGUCAAAGGUAUGCCUCACAUUGAUCAUCCAGAUGAAGUUUGUGAGAGUUGUGUCCUCAGCAAACAUCACAGAUCCAGUUUUGCCAAAGAAGUCAACUGGAAAGCAAAGAGGCCACUGGAGUUAGUGCACACAGAUGUGUGUGGCCCAAAAAAGCCUAUGUCGACUGGACAAAAUAGGUACUUCCUCACUUUUAUUGAUGAUUUUAGCAGAAAGACGUGGAUAUACUUUCUGAAGAGAAAGUCAGAAGUAUUCAAUUGUUUUAAAGAUUUUAAAGCAAUUGUUAAGAAGCAAAGUGGCUAUAAGAUCAGAACUGUAAAUCUGAUCAAGGUGGAGAAUAUACAGCAAAUGACUUUGAAGCCUUUUACACAACAAGGCAUCAGACAUCAGACAACCAGCUUAUACACCACAGCUGAAUGGUGUAGCAGAGGAAGAAUCGCACGAUUCUUGACAUGGCAGAAGUCUGCUCAAAGCAAAGAAGUUGCCCAAGCAAUACUGGGCUGAAGCUGUAUCAUGUGCAGUGUAUCUACUGAAUCGCUGCCCAACCAGAAGUUUGCAAGGAGUCACUCCAGAAGAAGCAUGGAGUGGUCACAAACCAAGUGUUACUCAUCUACGAGUCUUUGGUUGUGUGGCAUAUGCAAAGAUCCCAGAUGCAAGAAGGAGAAAGCUCGAUGAUAAAGCGAGAAAUGCAUCUUUGUCGGAUAUGGUGAAAGAAGGAUGGGAUACAGGCUGUAUAAUCCCAUCACGAAGAAGGUGAUUACGAGUAGAGAUGUUAUCUUUGAAGAAGAUAAAUCUUGGGCAUGGAAUGAUGAUCAAGAAGCAGUCAAAUGGAUCAACACUGAUUUGAUCCUUGAAGGUGAAGAAGUACCAACAGUACUUGUCGAAGAACCGAUUGUGCCAGCAGCUGAACCACAAAGUCCGGCACACAGUUUCCCUGUAUUCAACAGGAGAACACACCAGGAGCAUCAUCAUCAACACCACCAUCAGCAUCCUCAUCAGAAGGACCAAGAAGGAUGAGAAAUCUUGAAGAGCUGUAUGAUGCCACUCAAGUCAUGGAAGAUACAACUUUGUUUUGUUUCUUUGCAGAUAGUGACCCAUUAAGCUUCAAUGAAGCUGUCACAGAAGAGAAAUGGAUAAAGCAAUGGAUGAAGAAAUACAUGCCAUUGAGAAGAAUGAUACCUGGAAGCUGACUUAUCUACCAGAAAACAAGAAAGCAAUAGGUGUCAAAUGGGUCUACAAGACGAAGAAGAAUGCAAAAGGAUAAGUGCAAAGAUACAAAGCCAGAUUAGUGGCUAAAGGCUACAAACAGAGAGAAGGCAUUGACUAUGGAGAAGUAUUUGCUCCAGUAGCCCGGCUAGAGACAAUCAGACUGAUGAUCUCACUAGCUGCACAACAUAGAUGGAAGAUCUAUCAACUCGAUGUGAAGUCAGCAUUUCUGAAUGGCUUCCUAGAAGAAGAUCUAUGUUGAACAACCACUUGGAUACAUUGAUGCUGAAAAUGAAGGCAAAGUAUACAAGUUGAAGAAGGCUCUCUAUGGUUUGAAGCAAGCUCCGCGUGCUUGGAAUACCAGAAUUGACAGGUAUUUUCAAGAUAAUGGAUUUGAAAAAUGUCCAUAUGAACACGCAAUAUGUGAAGAAAGGAGCAGAUGGCAGCAUCUUAUUUGCGUGCCUGUAUGUUGAUGAUUUGAUAUUCACCGGCAACAACCCUACCAUGUUUGACGACUUCAAACGAAGCAUGGUACAGGAGUUUGAAAUGACUGACAUUGGUCUAAUGUCACAUUUUCUUGGCUUAGAAGUAACGCAGAAGGAAGAAGGGAUUUUUGUAUCCCAAAGCGGUUACGCCAAAGAUAUUCUUGAAAGGUUCAAGAUGGAAAGCUGCAAUCCGGUAUCAACUCCAGUUGAGAAUGGAGUGGAAUUGAGGAAGAGUAAGGUUGGAAAUGUUGAUCCAACUUACUUCAAAAGCUUAGUAGGAAGCUUAAGGUACUUGACAUGUACCAGACCGGAUAUACUCUACGGAGUCGGACUCAGCAGAUACAUGGAGACACCAGACCAGUCUCAUUUGAAUGCAGCCAAGAGAAUUCUUCGCUACAUCAAAGGCACAAUGAAUGAAGGUAUGUUUUAUACCUCAAGUAAAGAUUUCAAUCUUGUAGGCUACUCAGAUAGUGAUUGGGAUAGAGAUCUGGAUGAAAGGAAAAGCAUAACAGGGUUUUUCUUUUUCAUGGGAGAUACAUCUUUCACAUGGUCAUCCAAGAAGCAAUCGAUUGUAACGUUAUCAAGCUGUGAAGUUGAGUAUGUUGUUGUCAACUCAGUUGUAUGCCAUUCAAUAUGGUUAAGGAAUAUGGUGAAGUUUUUGGGAUUUCCUCAAGAAAAUCCUACAGAGAUUUAUAUUGACAAUCGAUCAGCGAUUGCAUUGGCAAAGAACUCGGUGUAUCAUGAAAGAAGUAAACACAUUGAUGCACGUCAUCAUUUUAUCCGAGAGCAUGUGAAAAAUAAAGAAGUCGAGCUGAUAUCCUGCAAUACAAAUGAUCAAGUUACAGAUAUCUUCACAAAGCCAUUGAAGGGAGAAGUAUUUAUCAGAUUAAAGUUCAUGCUUGGCAUGACAUCCCUCGAUUGAGUUUAAAGGGGAGAUUUGUUGAAGUAAACUCAAUAUCUAGAAGGUCAAGGAAGGCAACCACCCAUCACCACUUGCGGCCACCAGCUGCCACCAACCGCAGCUGCCAGCCGCCUUCACACUUGAAGGUUGAAUUUUCUUGUUUUGAAUUCUUGUAUAAAUAGGCUGCUAAGCUUAUGUUAUUAUGUGUGGAGAGUUUAGAGAGCAACACUAGAAAGAGAGAGAGAGGGUGUGUAUUAAGAUUUUGUGUUAUUGUAAGCUUUUUGUUUUUGAAAUAAAACUUUGUAUUUUAUCCCCUCUGAGUGUUUCAAAGCCACCACCAGUGGUUUCUUCCAUCAACAGGUUUCAAUGAGUUUUUUUGUUGCUGAUAAUGAUUUAUUAGCCAAUAAAUUUAGGUUCAUUUAGGAUGAGUUUUUAUGUUGACUGAAAACUCUGGACUUUUCCCUUGUCAUGGACCAUUUGUGUGCUUAAAUAUGUUACUUUUUUGGUACCAGUGAGUUAAAAAAAUUUCCAGCAAUGGCUUCUUCUAGUUUUGAUUUUAUAUUCCUAGUAGUAAUGUUACUGUUACCAUUCAUGGCUGCUGCUCAAACUAACGGAAGAGUACCCGUGGGAGCAUCCAUCACUGCAACUGAUGAUUCUCCUUCAUGGCUUUCUGAUUCUGGUGAAUUUGCAUUCGGUUUUCGCCAGCUGGAGAACAAGGAUUAUUUCUUGUUGUCCAUUUGGUAUGAAAAGAUUCCUGAGAAGACCGUAGUUUGGUAUGCAAUUGGAGAGGAUCCUACAGAUGAUCGAAGGUGGAGCUGACUGAUGAUCGUGGGCUGUUGCUUGCUGAUCCUCAAGGCAAUCUAAUAUGGACAUCUCGUAUCCUUCUAGGUGCAGUUUCGUCAGGUGUUCUGAAUGACACUGGCAACUUCGUGCUUCAAAACAGAAAUUCUGACAGGUUGUGGGAGAGUUUCAACAAUCCCACUGAUACAUUGUUGCCUACUCAGAUUAUGGAGGCUGGAGGGGUGGUUUCUUCUCGAAGGACGGAGACCAACUUUUCGCUGGGGAGAUUCCAGCUCCGUUUGCUUGAUAAUGGAAAUCUUGUGCUGAAUUCCAUGAACUCGCCAACCAAAUUUGCUUACGACGAGUACUAUAGAAGUGGAACUUCUGAUGCUUCAAAUUCAUCAAAUUCUGGUUAUGGAUUGAUCUUCAAUGAGUCAGGCUACAUGUACAUAUUGAGAAGAAAUGGGCUGAGAGAGGAUCUCACAAAAACAGCACUUCCUACUACAGGCUUCUACCGUAGGGCAACUCUCAAUUUCGAUGGUGUUUUCACUCAAUAUUCAUACCCGAAAACAUCCUCUUCUAUUAGAAGCUGGUCACCUGUCAGGUCUGAACCAGAAAAUAUAUGCAAGUUUAAUUCAAUUUGGGGUAGUGGAGCGUGUGGAUACAACAGCAUCUGCAGCCUAAGUGUUGAUCGAAGGCCCAAUUGUACUUGUCCACAAGAAUUUUCUUUGCUUGAUCAGAAUGACAAGCAUGGAAGCUGCAUACCAAAUUUCGAAAUAAGCUGCAAAGAUAAUGGAAAAAAUUCCUCAGAAGAUCUGUAUGAUUUUGUUGAGCUAAGAUAUGUUGAUUAUCCAUCAGGUGAUGCAGAACAUUUACAACCUCAAAAUGAAGAGCAGUGCAGAAAAGCUUGCUUGAAUGACUGUCUGUGUGGGGCUGUCAUCUUUUUAGGCAACAACUGCUGGAAGAAGAAGUUACCACUUUCGAAUGGAAAAGUUGACAGUGGUUUUAACGGGAAGACUUUCAUCAAAUUUAAGAAAGGUGAUAUCCCUGCCGGGAAUCCUGGUCUUCAGAUUCCUGAAACGAAGACGGAAAGGGACAUUAAGGUCAUCACAGGAAUAGUGCUCUUGGUCAGCUCUGUAUUUGUCAACUUUAUAUUGAUCAGUACAUUAUGUUUCUGUUCUUCCUUCAUUUACCGCAACAAAGUAGCAAAUGUUCGAGAAGAAAACAAUGUGGAGUCAAACUUGCGUUCAUUUACAUACAAAGAGCUCACAGAAGCUACAGAAGGCUUCCAGGAUGAACUGGGGAGAGGAGCUUUUGGUGGUGUUUACAAAGGUGCGAUAAAAACAGGUUUUACUAAUUUUAUUGCUGUGAAGAAGUUAGAUGGCGUGGUUGAACAUGGUGAGAAGGAAUUCAAAACCGAAGUGAACGUGAUCAGUCAGACGCAUCACAAGAAUUUGGUCCGAUUGUUAGGAUUUUGUGACGAGGGGCAGCAUCGUUUGUUGGUGUAUGAGUUCUUGAGUAAUGGCACUCUAGCCGAUUUUCUUUUUGGAAGCUUAAGGCCUAGUUGGAAGCAAAGAACUCAGAUUGCCUUCGGCAUUGCAAGAGGACUCUUGUACCUACACGAAGAAUGUAGCACCCAAAUCAUUCACUGUGACAUAAAGCCGCAGAACAUUCUUAUUGAUGACUACUACAAUGCUCGGAUAUCAGAUUUUGGAUUGGCAAAACUUUUGGCGAUUAAUCAGAGCCAAACCAAAAUUGCCAUCGAAGGAACAAAAGGAUAUGUUGCUCCUGAAUGGUUCAGGAACACACCAGUCACUGUGAAGUUUGAUGUCUAUAGCUUUGGUGUCUUGCUGCUAGAGAUCAUCUGCUGUCAGAGAAGUGUAGAUCUGGAGAUCAGUGGAACUGGAGCUAUAUUGACCGACUGGGCUUAUGACUCCUAUAGGCAUGGAACGCUUGACGCUUUGAUUGAAGAUGAUAUGGAGGCCAUGAAUGACGUAUCAACACUAGAGAGGGCUAUGAAGGUUGCAAUUUGGUGCAUUCAAGAGGUGCCAUCUCUUAGACCCACCAUGAGGAAGGUGACACAGAUGCUUGAAGGAGUUGUUGAAGUUCCCGCUUCCCCGAAUCCGUUCCCGUUCAGUGAAAUUAGUUGCUCCUGAACACAACAGUAACUGCCUUAAUUUCAACUAGUUAUGAUUUUUCUGGCUGUGGUUGAAUCCAUACUCAUCUAAUGAUUCAUCUGUUGCCAGUAUAUUCAUUUCUCAACCAAUUCUUCUUGAUAGAAGUGCAAAACAUUAUAGUUUUCUUCAAGAAGCUUUUCAUCUUGUCCACAGCUUAGUGUUUAUUACAGUUACAUGGAUUUCGUCAAGAUUAUUUCUCAAAUUUUACGGCUCUCUGAUUGUAAGUUUAAAAUGACUUCUUAUUUUUUCAGAAGAGCAUCAUCACGGAUUACUAGAAUUUACAAUCAUUACUAUGGUUUUCCUCAAGAUUAAUGCUCCAUUUUUACCACUUCCUGACUGUAAAUCGAGGGCCAUUUCCCUCCUGUUUUCGGAAGAACACAGUAUUUUGUAGAAAAUUAUUAUGAACAUCGUGGGCUGGUGAUUGCUGAUCCUCGAGGCAAAGAGUUUCAGCAAACCUACUGAUACAUUGUAGCCUACUCACACUACGGAGACAACAAAGAAAGAAAUUCGACAGUUAGACGCAUUUUUUCAAUUAGUGAUCACUAAGGUGUUAAAUCUUCAAGGUAGCAGAUUUUCAAAAUAUAAAAUCUGUCACCAUGUGCACCUCCCUCUAGUUAUAUCCCAUGUUGCUGUUUUUCGUUGGCCAGCAAGGAUGCUCUCAUGCAAGUGAGUUGGAGGUAAGAUUGUCAAGAUUCUGUUGAAUGUUUUGUUGACAGAGAGGGCAGUCUUGCUGGUUGCAUGCGAACACACACACAAGAGAACCCACCUGUCACGGGGUAAUUUUUCGCUCUCAAAUAAACUUGUGUGGCAGUCUAGUCCCUCACUAGACUCAACCUUCCCUCACCAAUCCCACUCGUGUUUGCCUAGUAACUAAGCAAACGGAAUACUCAAGUAGAAUAAGAUAAUCAAAAUGCACAACAAGCUCUACGGGAACUCUUUCCCAACCUUUAUUAAUCUCGUACACAAAGGAAACUAUAUACAAAUUCGUAUAUGUGCUAUGCACAAAGAUUGCAUGCUACACCAAGCUAUCUUUAGCUCGUACUCUACAUGUUCUUACAUGCCCCUACAUGCUGAACAUGCCCCACGCAUGCCUCCUAUCAACUAAGAGUAGCAAAAAGUAUUUAUAGACAAGCAUUUACAAGGCACAACUCCCAUUUCUACUUUUAAGGAAGUAGUGGGACACUAUCUCACCUAUGUUCACCUAUGAACAUAAUGGCCCCAUUCAGUGGCGGAGCCAAGAUUUUUUAAAUGAGGAGGCAAAUUACUAACAAAUAUUUAAUAUUAUAUAUUAUACAUACAUGUGUUAUAUAUAGAAAUUAAUUUAAUAUAUAUAUAAGCUAAAGUUAAGUUAAAUUAAUUUAAAAAUAUUUUUAAACUGAAAAAACUUACAUUAUAAUUAUUAUUUUCAAGAUUUUAUAUUUUAAAAUUGUUUCAUAAUAAUUUUAUUUUUAAUCUCAUUAAAAAUAUCUUUCUCAAUAUAUAGAACAAAUUUUCAUUUAUUUAUUUUUAAAUUUUUCAAGGAUUAGGAAAGUUCUUGACAACAAUUCUAUGCUGACAUAUGGUACAUAACAUUUAAAAUCAUAGCUUGUUGUCAAGAACAAUUUUUCAAGGAUUAAAAAGGAUUGUUUAAAAUUAAUGUUGUUCUUCCUGACUUGUUGUUUUGUAUAAGUAGAUUAAACAUAAAGAUUAAAUGUUUUUUUUUAAUUUAUUUAUUAUGUCCUUAAUUUUUUUUAGUUGCCCUGUACUUCAUUUUUAAUCAUUAGUAAAUUUAUUAUCAUUAUUUUUCAUAUAAAAUUCAUAACAAAAUACUUAUCAAUUCAUCAAAACUCAUUUUAAUUUAUACCUAUUAGCAUAUAAUAUUACCCAUACACGUAUUAAUUCAACAAACUCAUAAAUUAUUAUAAACCCUAACAUUUUUAAUAACUAAUUAUAAAGAAAUAAAACUAAGAUUAUAUAAUAAAACAAAUAGAAAAGUAACACAACUUUAUAUUAAUUUUGAUCACCUCCUUUUGUAUUAUAUUAUGUUUGAUUUAGCUGUUAAAUCUUUAUAAUUUAUUUAAUUUGGAUAUUGAUUUAUGUACUAUUAAUUUAUAUGAAUCACUUAAAAAUAUAAUACAGCUUUAUAUCAUGAAAUACUUGAAGUGAGAACGUGAGUGGCAAUUGAUGUUAAUUGGGAGGGGGAGGGGGCAAUUGCCCCCUCUUGCCCCAUUGUGGCUCCGCCACUGGCCCCAUUAUCUUUCAAGUAGUGGGUAGUUUUCCCCCAUGAUCUUAAUGGGUUGAGAGCAACCCCUGGUUAACCCCCAUCAUCCCAUGAUCUUGGAUAUCCAUAACUGCCACUAACUCACAUUCUGCAUGCCCACCUGGCAGCCCCAAUUGCUAGUUCUUGCUGUGUCAUUUGUUGAGUUUCUCACAUGCCUUGGACAGUCUUUCGUCCAAGUUUAAGAUCGUGCCAAGUCAAACCAACGACUUGCACAGGCUGUUGCGCGCUGCCGAAUUCGCAUUUGAGUGCAAGUUGUCAAUUUCUGCGCUGCCGAACUCGCAUCUGAGUGCAGGAUGCCACUGUCUAUGCUGUCGAAUUCCAUGAGAGCCCUAGUUCUAGCCAGCCUAUCUCCUUGACGAGUUUUCUUGCUUGGCCUAGACAUUCCAACAUCCAGUCCAUGUUCGUCAACAAUCUGCGCUACCCAAUUUUCCUUUGAUGAACCUACAACUGCACAAAUCUGCGCUGUCGAUUUAUCCCACUGUUAGCAUGGCUGCCAGCACCCUUAGACAUUGUUUUGGACAGCCUGCUGAAGUGUGCACCUCGUGCACAUUUAACAUUGUUACACUACCUCUUUUUAUUUUUUAAUGCUCGAGCCUGCGGUCCCAUUUUAAUUCUUUGCCAGGAUUAACGAAACUACAGAAAAAUUAAUAAAAAAAACUUUAAUAUAUUCUGAAAAGUCUUUGAAUUCAAUAAUAUAAUAAAAAAAAAUUAACACAUCAACUACUUAUAUAAAGGUAAAAAUAAACCUAACAAAAAAAAAAAAAAGCUAAGUAGAAAAAAAUAAUUGACAUAUGAAAUUAACUAGAAAAAAAUUAAAAUAAUAUCUUCUAGGUUUAAUUUGAAGAAUUUCUCAUUCUUGGUUGAUUACAUCUUGCUUCAAAUUCAUCAAAUUCUGGUUAUGGAUUGAUCUUCAAUGAGUCAGGCUACAUGUACAUAUUGAGAAGAAAUGGGCUGAUAGAGGAUCUCACAAAAACAGCAAUUCCUAGUGCGCGCAGACUUCUAUCAUAGGGCAACACUCAAUUUUGAUGGCGUUUUCACUCAAUAUUUUUACCCAAAAGCAUCUAGCGGUAACAGAAGCUGGUCCUCAGUCUGGUCCAAACCAGAUAAUAUAUGUGUCAAUAUGGGAGCGGGCUUGGGGCUUGGAGCUUGGAUAUAACAGCAUCUGCAAUCUAAAAGCUGAUAAAAGGCCAGAAUGUAAUUGUCCACAAGGUUUUUCUUUGCUUGAAUGACAGGUAUGGAAGCUGCAUACCAGAUUUCGAGCUAAGCUGCAGAGAUGAUGGACUCAAUUCCACCGAAGAUCAGUAUGAUUUUGUGGAGCUAAUAAAUGUUGAUUGGCCAACAUCUGAUUAUGAGAUGUACAAACCUAUUAACGAAGAUGAGUGCCGAAAGUCUUGCUUGGAUGAUUGUCUAUGUUCUGUUGCCGUUUAUAGAGAUGGCUGCUGGAAGAAGAAGUUACCACUCUCGAAUGGAAGAUUUAACAUUGGUAUGAAUGGGAAGGCUUUCCUUAAAUUUCCGAAAGGUUAUGUUCCUCCGGAUAGGCCUCCUCCUCAGCUUCCUGGAGAGAAAAAGAAACCAGACAUUAAGUUCAUCGCUGGAUCAGUAGUCCUUGGUACCUCUGUAUUUGUCAACUUUGUAUUGGUCGGUGCUUUCUGUCUCACUUCUUCCUUCAUUUAUCGCAAGAAAACUGAAAAAGUUCAGGAAGGUGGAAGUGGUUUGGAGACAAACUUGCGGUAUUUUACAUACAAAGAGCUCGCUGAAGCGACAAAUGACUUCAAAGAUGCGGUGGGAAGAGGAGGUUUUGGUGUUGUUUACAAGAGGACAAUAUAGGCAGGCUCUAAUAGAUAAAGUGGUUCAGGAUGGGGAAAAAGAAUUCAAAACAGAAGUACAAGUGAUUGGCCAGGCAGGCAGAAUCGAUUGUUGGUGUACGAGUUCUUGAGUAAUGGCACUCUAGCAAACUUCCUUUUCGGAUGCUCUAAGCCCAAUUGGAAGCAAAGGAUCCAGAUUGCCUUUGGCAUUGCAAGAGGACUCUUGUACCUGCAUGAAGAAUGUGGCACCCAAAUCAUUCACUGUGAUAUAAAGCCUCAGAACAUACUUCUUGACAAUUAUUACAAUGCUCGAAUAUCUGAUUUUGGACUGGCAAAGCUUUUGGUGUUGGAUCAAAGCAAAACUCAAACUGCUAUUAGAGGAACAAAAGGAUAUGUUGCACCUAGUUGAGAAUAAUUAGGAGGCUUAACCUAAUAGGUUAGCCAACCCUUUCUAUAUAUAUGAGUAGGGCAAUAUACAAUAGUAAAGGUGGAGAUUACCACAUAAGAAUAUGACUACAAUAUUUCCUAUAUAAUUACAUUCUAUAAUACGCCCCCUCAAGCUGAGGGUGGAGGAUCAACCCGAAGCUUGAAUCUCAAAGCAGUAAAUGAAGCAGUAGGAAGUGGCUUCGUGAAGGCAUCGGCAAGUUGAUCCUGAGAGGAAAUAAAACGAAUCUGAAUCUCCUUCUUCGCAACUCUAUCUUGGACAAAAUGAUAAUCAAUCUCAAUAUGUUUUUUGCGAGCAUGAAAUAUAGGGUUUGCGGACAAAUACGUGGCACCAAUGUUGUCACACCAGAUAAUAGGGGCAGAAGGAGUCGGAAUCUGAAGAUCCGUUAACAAGUACUGAAGCCAGAUAACUUCAGUCGUGCCAUCGGCUAAGGCUUUGUACUCAGCUUCCGUCGAAGAACGAGCAAUAGUGCGUUGCUUACUCGAUUUCCACGAAAUUGGCGUCUGACCAAAGAACACAAGAUAACCACCUGUAGACUUUCUAUCCUCAAUACUACCUGCCCAAUCUGCAUCUGUAAAACCGUGUAAAGCAAAGGAAGAGCUGUGAGUAAUAUCUAAACCAUGUGAUGCCGUACCACAGAGAUAACGCAAGAUGUGUUUCACGGCAGCCCAAUGGGAUUCUGUAGGAGCAUGCAUAAAUUGACAGACCCGGUUAACAGCAAAGCAAAUAUCCGGGCGUGUGAAAGUGAGAUAUUGGAGAGCCAAAACGAGUAGCAUCAGAAAACAAUGGAUCCGGCAUAAUGGUGGCUUUGGAUGCCGAAAUAGGAGUAUCAACUGGUUUACAGGAUAACAUACCAGCUCGUGUGAGGAUAUCAAGUGUAUAUUUAUGUUGACAAAGCAUAAGUCCCAGACCAGUACACUGCACUUCAAUACCCAAGAAAUAAUGAACAUCACCCAAAUCCCGAAGUUUAAAUUCUGAGCUCAGUAGCUGAAUGAGUCGUUGUAGCAGAGUUCCAUUAUUACCCGUAAGCAGAAUAUCAUCAACAUAAACCAAAAGAUAACAAAUAUCACUACCAACCGAGAAGAUAAACAAUGAGGUAUCCACUUUAGAAGCACGGAAACCAAUGGAUAAUAGAAAAUCAUUCAGACGAGUGUACCAAGCCCGCGGAGCCUGUUUUAACCCAUAUAGAGAUUUAUGCAAUCGACAUACAUGACCUGGGAGUGCAGAAUCAACAAAACCUGGAGGUUGUUUCAUGUAAACCUCUUCAUCAAGGACUCCAUUUAGAAAUGCAUUAUGAAUGUCAAGCUGAUGAAUUUUCCAACCACUCGAAACUGCAAUGGAGAACACUAAGCGGACUGUUGCCUGUUUGAUAACAGGACUAAAAGUUUCUGAGUAAUCAAUACCUUCUUGCUGAGUGAAGCCCCUAGCAACCAGGCGGCCUUAUACCUCUCAAUGCUACCAUCAGAUCUGCGUUUAAUUUUGUAGACCCAUCGGCUACCAACAACAUUCAUGGACGGAUGAAACGCACUAAAGUCCAUGUUCUGUUUGCGCGUAAGGCCUGAAUUUCCUCUCGCAUAGCAUUAUGCCACGCCUCAUAUCUGUUAGCAUCAGGAAAAAUAAGUGGCUCAUGCGAGGGAGGAGAAGUUACCCGACUGAAGGAAGCAGCAGAGGUGGUUGCCGUGGUGAUGAUCAGCGUUGUCUUGGGUUGUCUCGGACGAAGAACCAUGGGGUGUUUAGGAGCAGCUGGACAUGGAGUAGCAGCACCUGUACCUGGAAUGUGCUGAAGAGGAUAAGAGGAGAGAUCAACACAAAGUUGCAGACCAGGAGGUGAAGCCGGGGAGGUGUGGGUUGUGCCGCUACUGAAUCCUGCAAGUCAGAACCUGUUCCUGCACAAUAAUCAUUGGAAAGACAAGCACGUGGUGAUAGUAUGGUUGUGUGGGGUGGUGAGGCAGGGUCGGCUGAAUCAACGGGCAGGGGAGCAAGCUGGGGGGUUGCGGCAAGGGGCAAAGGUGGGUUGUGUUUUUGCCGAGUUGGGAAGGAAGAGGCUGAAAACAGGAAGGGGUUGCAGUGAUGGAAGAUAGGUAGGUGGAGUGGGGGAAGGGGGUGUUGUUACCUGUUCAGACUUUUUAAAAGGAAAGACACAUUCAUGAAAACGAACAUGACGGGAGACAUAGACACGACCAGACUCUAAAUCAAGACACCGAUAACCAAGAUGAGACGAGCUAUAGCCUAAAAACACACAAGGAGAAGACCGAAAAUCUAAUUUAUGAGCAUGAUAUGGACGUAAAAAUGGAAAACAAAGACACCCAAAAGUGCGUAGAAGUUAUAAUCAGGAGUGCGAUGAAACAGACACGCAAAAGGAGAUUUAUUUUGAAGAACAUGAGUAGGCAUGCGAUUAAUAAGAUACCGAUGAUUCCAUAGCAUAGUUCCAAAAACGCAAUGGGGCAUUACACUGGCCUAAAGGGUUAGGCCAGUUUCGACAAUAUGUCUAUGACGACGUUCAACUGUGCCAUUUUGUUCAUGAGUAUGAGGACAAAUUAAUCGAUGAUGAAUACCAAUUGUUUGAAAAAAUGUAUUUAAUUUGAUAUUCACCACCCCAAUCAGUUUGAACAGAUUUAAUUUUAAGAGAAAACUGACGCUCAACAAGUGUCUGAAAACGUUGAAACGUGGAAAAUACAUCAGAUUUCGCAACAAGCGGAUAAUACCAGAUAUAUUUAGUGUGCGCAUCAACAAAGAUAACAAAAUAACGAAAACCAUCAGAAGAAAACAUUGGAGCAGGGCCCCAAACAUCACUAAAAAUUAAUUCAAGUGGGGUAGAAGUUUUGUGACCCGUCGGUCGUAAUGACAAACGGGAUGACUUGCCUAAUGGACAUGCUUGACAUUGAGUAAAAGAUCGUUUAGACGUACAAAUAAUUUUAUUAUCAGAAACUAACAAAUUUAGAAUGCGAGGAGUUGGAUGACCUAAACGACGAUGCCACAAGUCGGCAGUCGCGGAAAUGCAAGGAGACCAAAAAGCUUGAGGAACUGACGUAGCCGAGGACUCGGAGAGAACAUAAAGACCAUCAUGACUCCGACCGGAAAGAAGAACUUCCUUGGUGACGAGAUCCUUCACAUAAAACACAGAAUCGUGAAAUUCAAAAUAAACAUGAUUAUCACGACAGAAUUUCUGAACAGAUAACAACGGUUUGGUAAUGUGAGGCACACGAAGAACAUUAGUUAAUGUAAACAAGCGUUUGGGGGAAUAUAAAGUAGUAUGUCCAACAUGGGAUAUGUCAAGGGCCUUACCAUCACCAACAUGCAAGAAAUCAUUACCAAGAUAAGGAGCAGAAUCAGUUAGAGUUGCAAGAUCAGGCGUCACAUGUUGAUUCGCGCCGGUGUCGGGAAACCAAGUCGUUGCAGCAGAAUCAUUCGCAACAGCAAGGUGAGCAGAGGGCUGCUGUGUGCUGCUGCGAAACUGAUAGCAUUGAAGAGCUGAAUGGCCAGGAGUGGAACAUAAUUGGCAGCGGACAUGUCCAGACCACUGCCCCUGAUUUGGCCGAAAUCUGCAGCAGAGGUGCGCCUGUUCUGCCACUGAUUUUGCCUCCAAUCUGCAGCGGAGUGACCUCUGUUUGGGGCCUGAAAUCGGUUGGUGUUUGAGCGCCAAUUACCUCUAGAACGUCCCCUGUUUCGGCUGUGAUUAGUCAUGGCAUAAUAAGCAGAAUUCGGAGGUGUUGGCAGCAAUGGUGGCUGCUGCGGCAGAGAAGAAGAAGACAGCAGUGAUGAAGAGGAUGAACCGACAGCCAUGGAGUGAAAGGAAUUCUUGUGCAGAAACUCAUGGGUAAGGAGAUGGCUAUGAAGAUCAGCAUACGAUAGCGGUUCAGCCUUGGUUAUGAGACUAGUUACCAAGUCUUUGAACUCACCGCGAAGUCCACGAAACACAUAGAGAUUGAAAUCUUCAAGGGACAUUGGGCGACCAGCAGCAGCCAAUUCGUCAAAUAACGAUUUGGCUUGCUGCAUAUACAUACUAACCGAUGCAUCACCUUGCCGAAGGUCUUGAAAGGAGCCAUGUAGUUGCAUGAUCCGGGAAUUAGAUGGAGAGGCAAGUGCCUUCUCAAGCGUGCGCCAAACACAAUGUGAAGUAGAACAAUCUACAAGAUGCAGCACAUCCACGGAAAGAGAGGAGAGUAGAGCACUCAAAAUAAGUUGAUCUUGUUGCUUCCAACGAAGAAAAGAGGGGCUGAUGGCAGAAGAAGAAUCAGCCGAAGCAUCAAUCAUAUGAGAUGGAGGACACGGCAAGGAGCCGUCAACAAAGUGAAAAACACCUUGACCAAGGAGAUAUGGCUUCAUCUGCAUUCUCCAAUAAAGAUAAUUUGUGUUCGUAAGUUUCAACGACACAACAUGGUGGGUGUUUGAUAGAGGAACCAUUGUUGUAGAUUGUGUUCCCAUGAGAGGCAAAGGAACGGCAGAGCCAGCAGCAGAAAGGGGGCUGGCCGGUGAUGAUGCAGCACCGGUGGAGGGAGAGAUUGGAUCAACGGCAGCAGGAGGAGAGUCCAUGGGGGAGAAAAUUAGGGCCGACUGCAAAGAGAGAAAAAAUUAGGAGGCUCUGAUACCAAGUUGAGAAUAAUUAGGAGGCUUAACCUAAUAGGUUAGCCAACCCUUUCUAUAUAUAUGAGUAGGGCAAUAUACAAUAGUAAAGGUGGAGAUUACCACAUAAGAAUAUGACUACAAUAUUUCCUAUAUAAUUACAUUCUAUAAUACACCUGAAUGGUUCAGGAACAGACCAAUCACUGUGAAGGUUGAUGUGUAUAGCUUCGGUGUCAUGCUGAUAGAGAUCAUCUGUUGUAGAAGAAAUGUAGAUUUGGAGUCGGUGAAGCAGAGAAUCCAGUACUGAUUGAUUAGGCUUAUGACUGCUACAUGAAUGGAAGUUUGGAUGUUUUAAUUGGAGAUGACAUGGAGGCCAAGAAUGACAUAUCGACACUAGAGCGUCUCUUGAAGGUCGGGAUUUGGUGUAUUCAAGAGGAUCCAUCUCUCAGACCCACCAUGAGGAAAGUCACACAGAUGCUUGAAGGAGUUGUUGAAGUUCCUGCUGCUCCAAAUCCAUUUCCAUAUAGUACAAUUAGCAAUUACAGUCAGGAAUGAUCUUUAUUUCACCUAGAUAUGAUUUUUCUACAGUUUCUUCUACCAUGAAAUGUAGCUUUAUAAGAGAAAAGAGGAAAAGAUAAGGAAAAUAUAAGAGAAUUGGAUGAAAUAAGUUUAAAGGUAAGAUUAUGUAUAAAUAUGUGUUAUUUAAGCUUUAAAUUUCUGUUUUGGUUAAAUGUUAGGGUUUUGAAGAUUGUGUUUUAAGUUUAUUGAAGAAUUAAUUUGAAUGUUAUUAAUUUAAUUGUUGUGGGUAAUGGAUUGGUAGUUGAUUUUGAGAGAUUGUAGGUAAAUAUGAUAAUUUUGAGUUAUGAUUUUAUUUAAAUGGUGAAUUUGUGUUAGAAAUCAUGAGAUAACAGUAGGUAAUCUGUGGAAAUUCUAGGUUUGAGGUUGAAGAUGAAAAAAUUUUGGUUUGGUCCCUCAAUUUGUGAAAAUUACAGUUUAGUCCCCAAACUUUGGAAAUUUUCAAAUCGGUCCUUGGAGCAUAUUCCGAGAUUCUGAACAGAAUAAAAUAUGAAUUUGGACAGAAUUCCAGUAGAGUUAUGAAUUUUAAACACUUUCAAUUUGGUCCUCCAAUUUGACAAAAAUUACCAUUUGACCCUAAAAAUUUGGUUAAAUUCCAGAAUGGUCCAUAGAGUAUAAUGAGAUAUUCUGGACAUAAUUGAGGAUUAAUUAUGGUCAGAAUUUCAGUAUAGUCAUGGAUUUAUGACAAAUUUAGUUUGGUCCUCCAUUUGAUAAAAAUUAUAAUUUAGCCUUAAAAAUGUGAUAAAUCCCAUAUUGGUCCCUAACUGUAUUAUUAGCCUUUUCAGAUUGGUUUGAUGAAUAAACGAGGGCUAUUUAGUGAAUUAUUAUCAAGUCUUAUUAUUUGUUUUAUUAUGGAUUAGAUUUCGGGAAAACCGUUAAUUUUUGGGUUUUUAGGAAAAUAUCUAAUUUAGUCUAAAAACAUAUAGAGUUAUGGAAUAUACCCUUAGAUAAGUGUAUUAAAUAGGUUGUAUUUUCUUUUGAGUCAUUCUUGAAUAUGUCUUCUUUGUAUUUAGAUAAUCCUGAUAUUCUUCCAGCGGAACGUCUAGGAUUUCCUUUGGUAUUGAGUUAUGUUUGUUUUCGAGUCAGGUGAGUGAAUAAUUUUUCAUAUGCAUGAGAAAUAUUAUAAAUAUUUGAUUUGUUAAUAUGAAUUGGAUCAUGCUUCUUGAUAAUAUAUAUGUUGAUUAUUAUCCUUGUAAUGAUAAAGCAUGAUCAAUUAUUGAAUCUGAAUUCUUGAUAUGAACCAGUAUAUAUUUUAAAUUGACUUUUUAAUUGAUAGCUCCACAUUUGAUUGAUGUUAUGAGUUGAGCCUUGAGAUAUGAAUAUGUCUGUUUGAUUAUGAUUAUGAACCUAUGGUAUGUCAGUCAGAAUACCUAUGCUGACAGGGUAAUGUUAAUCUUUGUGCACAUCGUAUAUGAACCCUAGUUGGUCGGGAGAGUCACCAACUUGUGUGAACUGAUCAUCCGAUAAUACGGAGCCUUAUGCUCAUUUUAUUUUGAUUUUCUGACGAGCUUUACCUUAUGAUAUUCUUGUUAUGGUCUAUUUGAUAAACCUUUCUAUAAGAACCUAGAGCCAUACUUGUGUGUGUGUGUGUGUGUGUGUGUGUAUUUCUCAUUGUUGUAGUACCUCGUGUGUGUAUAUGUAACGUUAUUUACUCACUGAGUUGUUGAAAUCACCUUCUUAUUAUUUAUCUUUUUCAGGUUUGAUAAACCUUUCUAUAAGAACCUGCUAUUUUGGUUGUAAUUUGUACAUUUUCCAUUUAUGUCUAGUUAGUGCUCCAAAGCUAUGAAAUUAUAUUAACUCUUGUAUUAAGACAAUGAAAUUACAUUAUGAAGUUAUUUUGUUGUUAAUGCUGCGUUGAACUCUGAUUGAAUUGUUUAAGGGAUAAGAUUGUAUGUAAGUUUGGGUUCACAUAAGUAUAGAACCUUGAAGGGGAACCUUGCCUAUAUACCGGUCAUGGAUCCAGGAAACUGAUUGUGACACAAGUCUUGGUCAAGAGAUGUUUGGCUUCUUUGGGGGCAUUUUUUGUUUCCAGGAAACGGUUAGUGAUAGACAUGUAAGAACCUGUACUUCUUGCCAUACGAAGUUGGACAAAGCUUUUUACAGUAAAAAGUGAAACAUCAAACACCAUUCCAUUACAUAAUGGUUGUUUCCGUUAUCCCUUUGCAUAAUUAAGAAAGUAACAACAAGCAACUUGGUCCCUUGAAUUUCAUGUUGAAUGGUUAGUAUACGGUUGUAAGUGAAGCAUGUUGUAGCUAUAGAUAUUCUCAUGAAUCUAUUGGAUGGGGGGUUCUAUCAGGAUAGGAACAAUUGAUAAAUAUACAAUGCACUAUACUUUGUAGAAUCCAUCAUCAUUCUUCUAUACCAGCAUUUGUCUUAAUAGAAAAUGGAUCUAGAACUCCAUGACUCAGACGCCCACUGUAAGACCCAAACUUUUGGCCCAAACCUAAGCCCAAGUCAACCCAAACCCAACCUAAGUUAACCUAGGUAUUUAAGGAAGAGUUGCAAGAGAAUUACUUUUCUCUCUUCCAAUUCUUGUAGCCACCGUGACCCUCCCCUCCUCAAACCAAAGAGUUUAGUUUUUGAUUCAAGAAAGGUGGAAGUAGCAAGUAAGUGGUUCCCUUUCAUAUUACUUUUGAUUAUAGUUUGCUUAUGGAAUGAUUAAAGAAGAGAUUAGGGUUUAUAAGGAUUGAAAGUUUAUGUUGUUAAGAUUGAUUUAUGAUUAUAAAGGGUUUAAUGUUAGGUGAUUGAUUAUUAUGUUGUUAGAAAUAAGGAUUUGUGAAUUGAUUUGUUUAAAUUGAUUUUUAUGGGUUAAGAAAUUCAUUUUAACCUUGCUGGAAAAUCCGGACAGAAUAGCUUUGAUGUUGAAGAUGACCAAAUUUUAUUUUGGUCCUUGAUUUAUGAAAAAUUCAGUUUAGUCCCUAAACUUUAGAAAAAUUAUGAUUUGACCCCUAAAUGUAUUUUUAGAUUCUGUACAAUGUUAUUAUGACGUUAAGGAUGAUGAAUCUCAGUUUGAUAAUUCAUUUGGAAUAUUUUUAGUUUGGUCCCUCAAUUUUAGGAAUUUACAUUUUAGUCCCUGAACUUUAUGAAAAUGACAAUUCGGUCCCUGUUUCGUUCUAUACAUAAUUUAGGAUGGUUUAUGGGUGCAAAUUUAGUAUGGUUAUGUAUUUACAGUUUGGUCCUCCAAUUUUGGUAAAAUUACGUUUUGGUCCCUGUUUUGGAAAAUUGUCAUUUUAGUCCAUAAACUUAGGAGACUAAACCUGGUUUUAUUUUAUGCAUUGGGAUCUUUUGUUUGAUUUGUUUUUUAGUAUAUUUCAUAUAUUGUUGUAGGUUCUCCUAACGAUCCUCAAUAGGAUUUUCGGGUUUUUUAUUUGACAUUCCUUUUAGUUCUAUAUUUUCCAGGUGAGUGGGAUAAUAUUUAAUAUGCAUAUAAUAUAAAUAAAUAUGUAUGUAGAUUAUACGAUGAGUACAACUAGUUAAUUUCUUGAAUAUUUAUAAAUAUUGCUUUAUUUUCCGAGUACUCAUUUAUUCUUGAAUUUGCACUCGUAAUAUGUCGAACUAAAUUCUAUUUGAUAUGAUAUACGUUUCUUUGAUGAUUCUGUAAAUAUCUAUUAUGGCUUGAUAUAGGACUUGUCAGUAACUCCAUGUUAACGGAGAGUAGUUAGCCUAUGUGCACAUAGUAUUCUGUAUACCUAGCUGGUGAGAGAGGCAUCAGCCUAUGGCGACUGAUCAUCCCACAGUGGUCACCUUCGGGUGUCAUCUGGUCACCUUCGGGUGUCAUCUGAUCUCUGACAUGUAUUCCACUACUUUAUGAUAAUAUGUUUAGUAUGUAUAUGUAUAUGUAUAUCAAGAUAAAUAAUCUUGCAAACUAUUAAUAUCUAAAAUAUCUAAAAUGUAUAUUAAAUGUUAUUCCCUCACUGAGUUAAUUGAACUCACCCCUCAUUCUUAAUAUUAUUUCAGGUUCUUAGUUUCUGAUAGCAUUUGGACUUUGUUAAGUGUUUCCACUUCUUCAAUUUUUGUUCGGUAUGCCUUGCUUGUUUUGCGAGGCUUUCCUUUUAGUUUUGAUUCAAUGUCUUAGACGCUCCACUAUUACCUUGUUUUAAUUAAGUUUGGAUUUUGACAAUGUAAUGAGUAUUAUGGAUUAUUGUUUUUGUUUUAAUUACUAAUAAGGAGUUUUAAACUAUCUUUUGGUUUUAUCAGUUUUGAAUAAUAUAAUAUUUCUGAAGAUUAUAAAAUGCUGUGUAUUUUUGAAUAAAUUGUUCUUCUGAUAUAUCUGUUCUGAGGCUUAGCGUAGGUAAGGUGUCCUUUCGACACCGCUCCUAUGUUGCCGGUUAUGGACCCGGAAUUCGGGUCGUGACACCCACUUUGUAGGGACCACAAGGAUUCCAUUUAUGUAUGGUUGAAAGUCUUGCCAUGGUAUGCCAUAAGUAUUGUCGAAGCCUGUAAUGCUGAAUUGAUCAGAUCGGGAAAAUACCAUUGUCCAGAAAAGGGCCAGGAAAACUUGUGUUUGGCUUCAGGCUCCAUCCUUCUCUCUCCCAUUGGUUAUUUAACGACGGAGUUUUCACCAAAAGUCUUGGUCAAGAGAUGCUUUGUUUGUUUUGGGGCUUUCUUCUCCAGGAAAUGCUUAGUGAUUGACCUGUAAAAACCUGUGCUCUCUUCCAUGCGAAGUUGGAUAAAGCUUUUUACAUUAGCUAUAGAUAUUUGAUGUAGAGGGGGAAAUGUAGGACUAGAUAUUCUCAUGAAUCUAUUGGAUGGGCGGUUCUAUCAGGAUAGGCACAGCUGAUAGCUACGUAAUGCACUAUAAACUGUAAAACCCAUCAUCAUCACUUGUAUCAAUUAUUUGGCACUAAAAUGUUAAGUUUUCACUGUCACAGGCAUUAGAAAUUUUAGUCUUCUCAUUUUCUAUCAUAUCCAACGUAAAAUCAUUUUCCAAUUCAGAAAUGACGAUGCAUAAGUUGUAAUUAAUUUUCAUUUCUCUCCUUCGUUGUCACUCCAUAUGACUAAUGAUAUUUUCACAAAAUGAACCUCAACCUGGGUUAAAUUCCGGGAAAGAUUUUCCAAGACGGUACAUAGUUGGUAUAUCUGGUAACCAUUUGAUAAAAAUCUUCUAUAUCAGCAUUUGUCUUGAUUCAAAAUAGACAGAGAAAUCCGCGACUCAGAGCCAACUCUUGAGAGACUAUAAGGAUUAUAACCAAGUAUAUUGACAGGUAACUUCUACCAUUUAUGUAGGGUUGAAAGUCUUGCUAUGGUAUACCAUGAGCAUACUCUAGUCUGUAAUUCAUGAAAAUUCAGAGAAAAUACCAUUGCCAAGAAAAGGCCCAAGAAAACUUGUGUUUGGCUUCAGGCUCCACCCUUCUCUUUCCCAUAGGUUAUUUAAUGACCGUGCCUUGAACUUCGUUUGCCUCAUAGUUUGGAGUCAUCAUGUCUUGCAAUGGCCUUUCCUAUUCUUCAUCUUUCGUUUUCCUUGCUCAUUAUGCUACCUCCUUUUGCUGUUUCUCAAACUGGUGGUAAUAUAACUGUGGGUGCUUCUCUUUCCACUGCUGAAAACACCUCAUGGCUUUCACCUUCCGGUGACUUUGUCUUUGGCUUUUAUCAACUGUAUGGCAACAAAGAUCUCUUCUUGCUUGCCAUAUGGUACGAUAAAAUACCAGACAAAACCAUAGUCUGGUAUGCAAAUGGAGAUAAACCUGCACCAACAGGGUCCAAGGCAGUGCUGACUGCCAAUCGCGGGAUUUCACUUACUGACCCUCAAGGCAGAGACUUGUGGAGAUCCGAGACAAUAAUUGGUGUUGUUGCCUACGGUGCCAUGACUGACACAGGCAACUUCGUGCUUCGAGAUCGUGUUUCUGAUAAGCUGUGGGAGUGUUUCAAGAAUCCUGCUGACACUUUACUGCCUUCACAGGUCUUGGACAGGGGGAUGACCCUUUCUUCUCGCCAAUCAGAAACAAACUUUUCUAAGGGAAGGUUCCAGCUUAAACUUAGAGAUGACGGGAAUCUUGUGCUAGCAACAAUAAACCUGCCUAGUGAUUAUACUAAUGAACCUUAUUAUAAAAGUGGUACCGAUGGUGGGUCGAAUUCAUCGAGUCCUGGCUAUCAAGUGGUCUUUAAUGAGUCAGGAUACCUGUAUAUAUUGAGG